AUCCUCAUUAUUUUUUCAUUGUUUUGGCCAAGUAGGACAAAUAUAAAUAUAAAUACUUCUACAUAGGCAUACAUUGGAGUACUUAGCAACGAGUUAGAGUUGGGGUAUGAAGCCAUGCCUUCAAAUUGCCUAUAGGAAUGCAAUCAAUCUUUGCCACUUGUCUUGUUUUGAUAUUGUAACAAAAGUGUACAUUUGUCACGAAUCCUGUUGGAUUUGGAACAAAAAUUCCUAUAAAGAUGAUUUGGUCGUUGAUCCAAAACCGAAAAAUCAGAGACGUUGCCAUUAUAUUAAAAUCAAAACCAAGCUUAUGGCUGCAAAUACCCGUAUUAUGAAAAGGUCUAAUCUCAUGAUAAAGAGUCCAUUUUCCUGAAUCCAUAUCCAAAGUAUAGAUUUGAUAUGUUCUACUGUCUUUUUCAUCCAUAAUGAAAGAAAGACAAUCUCCCGUCCAUAAAUAAACUGGAAGUGGAAAAGUAUACACUGGUUGAGGGGGGAGUGGAUAUUCUCUUAUAAUAAUUUCCUUGUCAACAUCCAUCACAAUCACUCCUUCCUCUGUUAUCCAAUAAAUAUCAUUGUCUCCAUUAUGAACUGGUUUCCAUGCUAAAAGACCCUUGUAAUUCAACAACUUAACUUCUUUUCUAACUAUCUCUUUCCAUGUGUUGUCAAUUCCAAUUCUUAGGACGUUGAAAACAUACCAAUUGACCCCUGAAACAUUUUGGUCAUCUAUUAAGAACACCUUGAACUUGCCAGUGCGGGGAACACAUGCUAUAGUAGAUCGCAAUUCAGCCCGUAGUUUUGAAAAGGGUAAAGGAGGAAUUCUAAAGCAGCACUUAAUGAUGGGGUUUACGACGUAAGUAAGUCUAAAACGAUCACAAAGCAGAAACAUGCCAUCAGAAAUGGCGACUAUCUCUCCAAAUCUGAAAGAGAGUCCCAAAUAAAUCCUUUCAGAAUGUCCCUUGACAUAGUCUUGAAUAUUCAAGAAAUAAGAAGCCCUUGUUGUAUGUAUAAUUUCAAUAUAAAUACCAGGUGGUUUACCACGUAGGCAGGCUUGAAUAGCAGUAGCCCAAGGUUUGGAUACGUGCCUUGCAGAGUUAAGCAGACACUUAAGAGGAACCAAACUAAGGAUAGCAAGCAUCAACUCUUGAGGAAGCUUUGAGAUCAGAUCAAAAUUCUUACUACUAUUUGAGUUUUGCUGAAUAUUCAUAUUCUGCUUGUUUGUUGCACGAUCAUGAUGACGUGAGUCAGAGUAAGUGCACUUAUUUAUAGAUUUAAAUCUCUGCCUUUUAACUCGACCAAUUGUCUUUUCCGUCUUCCUCCUUUUCACUUCCAAGAUUUCAACAUUACACUCUUUACCGUCUUCGACCUCUUUUUCUUUAACGUCCUCCUCCCUUUUGGUCUCAUUUUUAGGACGAGCUUUCUGUGAUAUUAAACUCAUCUUUUACAAUUGAACCUGAAAAAGAAAUAAAAGUACAACUCAGAUGAUAUAACACACCUCUAAUCCAAUAUGACAGUUGGAAACUGAAAUAUAAUAUGAGAACAGUAGACAACGGACUCGAUAGGAUAGUAUAAGACGACAACAAAUCCAACUGAUAGAACAUCAAAAUGAAUAAUGAUUGGUGAAAUCAAAUGAUGAGUAACAUAAAUAAAUAAAUAAAUACAGUCAUACGGUAAGCUUGAAUUGAAUAUUGAAUUUAUUUAUUUCAUACAUAAAUCAUCAAUAAUUUAACCAUUUGUGCAGCAAUCAGCUACAAUGAAAAUCAUUUAUACAAUAUUCAACAGAAAGAACAUAUUUUUCAGGUUGAUAACCCUCAAUUUCCAAUGCUGUUCCAUGCACAAAAUUCGACAAACCAAUCAGAAGUAACAUUAAUGAUGAGUCAGCAAAUGCCACUACAAAGGAACAGUUAUGGAACCAAGGAGCCUAGAAAGAGUAACAGGCAGAAAAUAACCAUCUCCAAAAUGCGAUGAUUAUGUGAGAGGUUGAAGUGUAUAAGUGAGGCAAAAAACUGAAAGUAGUGGUGUGGAACUUGGGCUGAAAUUCCUCUUCCAAUUUCAUCACCUGAGUUUCCCUUCUGCUUUCUUUUCUUUCUAAUAAUUCCUUGCCUUGUAAAUUGUUACUAUUUCUCCGCCUCAGAGCCGUCUUAAUGUUUUUUGAUGUCAUGUUCGAAUUUAAAAUAUUAGGCCCCUAAUAAAAAGUGUUAUGAUAUUUCAUAAUAUUAUAUUUUUAUCAAAUGAAAUACCAAAAACUCAAACUAUUUUAUUAAAAUUCAGCGAAAUAAAUAAAUUGUAAAUAACAUCUAAAUACAACUUCAGGCUCAUACUAGCCUUCUUACCAUUUAAAAAUAGCCCUUCUAACACGAAGCAAACCAAUAAUAGAUCUAAUAAUGCAGUAAUGAGUUUCAUUGUAAAUCUUAUAGAUCCAAUAAUAGAUUACCAGAAAACUAACUAUUACUACCAUUGUAAAUCACAAAAUCAAUAAUGAGUUCCUAAAUUCAAUAAUCAACCAUUUCAAAGUUUCUAAAAUCAACCUUUGCUGAUGAGAGUUGAGAGAAAUUAGGCUUAGUAUUUUUUUGGAGAGGAGAUAGAGAGAAGAUAGUCUCUGUUUAAAUGGGGUAUUUAUUUCGGACAUUUAUUUUAAGUAUAGGGUGCAAAUAUAAAAUUUUAGAACUGUCGGUGUACAAAAUUAAUGCAAUUUUCAAAGUUCAUAUAUAUUAUUACAAAAGAGAUUUGGGGCAUCCCUAUUGGGGAACUGUGCCAAUCUUUUGUAUAAUGUAACUGAUUUUUGAAGAAGAAAAAAAUCAUAGUUUUGUACAAGACCAUUCAAAAAUGUAUAUUUGCACCUUAUGCACAAAAUAAAUGUCCAGAAAAAAUAGACAAUUUGAAUAUACUAUCUUAUCAGCAUCUCUCUAAACAAAUAUCUAACUUAAUUUCUCUCGAAUCUCGUCAACAAAGAUUAGAAUCUUGAAUCUUGAUGUUAGUGUUUUAGAUUUUUGUUUAGCAACAUUUUAGAAUUGAUUUCAAUAAAACAGUAAGCUAUAUUUUCCUUCCCAUUUUAUUUCAUUUCACAUUGCAGUUACAAAUAUGAAUAAUUCACACAAUCAAACUAAACAAGACAAAUAAAUAACCAAAAUUAAGAACAGUGAAACCAAAAUUAGUCUUUUAAAAUAUAUUACACAUAUAAAAUGAAAAAUAAAACCUUCAAGACAAACCCUAAGUUAAACACAUUGAAUCCAACUUAAUAACAACAGAAAGAAAACACCAAAGACCAAAACAGAAAACGUUCAGAAACCCUAAAAAAUUCAGAACUUUAAUGGAUUCAAAAUGUCACGAUCAUAAAAUUGAAAAUAAUUUAAAAAUCGUAAAAGACUCACCCUAACCUUUUAGCUCUUACUCACCGUGAUGACGACCUUCCAACACAUAAUAUAAUGGCAUGCUCAGUAGAUUCAGUUGAAAAAAUGAAGUUACUUAAUCAAACCCAGAUCUAAGAGAGAUGAAAAAUCUAACAAAAAAACUUAUUAUGCUUCGAAUAAGUAAAAACAAGUGUUAAAAAACUAAAUCAGAUCAUGUUGCAUGUACCUAUGUGCGUUUGCGAAGCAUCUUUACUCCAAAGAGAAACGACCGAACCGGUGGUUGAGGUUUGAAACAUAAACAAAAGAUGUUUGUCUAGAGAAAGAGAAAUUGUACCAAAUACAUAGUGUUUCUCUCUCCACUCACAACACAACUUUCACACGCGCAUUUUAUUAUUACCAACCACAAAUUAGGUUUUUUUAUUUAUAUAUUAGCAUUUUUUUUUUACAUUAAAAUGCUCUACUUGCAAUUAAUAUUACCUCAUUCAUCAAAGAACGACCAUUUGAAAAGAAAGAAUUUUUUUUUUAGAAAAAUUUGUCUUCUACCUUCAAAAAAAAAUUUAAAAUACCAAAAAUACCUUCAAUUUUUUUUUUACUAUUUUACCCAAUAAAAAGUUAAAAAAAUUUCACUAUUUUCUAAUUUUCGGAGCAGUAAAAAAGAUUUUUCGUAGGUUCUAAUUUUCCGGUAACUUUCAGAAAACUUUAAAUAAGAUUUCUGUUACACAGUAUAUUUCCAGAAAAGUUUUCUUAAGUUUUCCGGUACAUAAGGUAAAUUCCGGAAAACUUAAUAAACAGUUUUCGGUAAAGAAAGGGAAAAUUGUGUACUGAAAAACUUAAUUGUCGAGUUUUGUACUCUGGAAAUCUUCAUACACAAGUUUUCUGGUACAUAACUAUAUUUUGAAAUUAAUUCUUUCAUUUUUUUGAAUUUUAUUAAUUUUUUUUUAAAUGUUAACAAAUAUGGAUAAACCGUUACUAUUAAUGGAUACAAGAUGCGUCGAUACUACAAUAUUUUUGACGCAUACCAGAUAUGAAUAAAUAUAAUUAAUAUUAAUAUUAUAAAAAUAUAUUAUGGCGAUUAAUUAUAAUUUAUUUUACUUCAGAUAUUUGAUACAAGGGACGCUUGUGUGAAUUAGGCAAAAGAAAUCGAUAUAAAAAAAAAAAAAAAUAACUGUUAUUAUCAGAAAAAAGAUCAGAUAUAGAGACAAGAGAGAAAGGAAGGAGAAAUAAUGAAUACUAAAAUAAGUAAAUAACAUCUAAAUACAACUUCAAGUUAAUAGUAAUUUUCUUGCUAUUUAAAAAGAGUUAUUCUUUUAACACGAAACAAAUCAAUAAUAGAUUUAAUAAUAAUGAAGUAAUGAAUUCUAUUGUAAAUCUAAUAGAUCCAAUAAUAGAUUACCAAAAAAUAUAUUCUAACAUUUGUUAAUGGAGAAAUUAGAUUUAAUAUUUAUUUAAAGAGAAUAUAGAGAGGAGAUAGCCUCCUUUUCAACUGAAUAUUUAUUUUGUAUAUUUAAUCUGAAUGCAAAUAUAAAGAAAUAAUUAAUCUGGACAUUAAUUCAUUUCACAUUUCAGUUACAAAUAUGAAGAAUUCACACAAGCGAACUAAAUAAGAUAAAGAAAUAACCAAAAUUAAGAACGGUGAACACUAAGAAACAAUCCCUGAAUAUGAAGUCACUUAAACUAAAAUACCAAAAUACUGAUUUCGAAAAUAAUUAAUACCUAUAUCAAGUGUGAACAACCUCUAAUUAUUUAUUCUAAUUAUAAUAAAACUUAAAUUAAAAAAAUAAAUAAUUAAAGUUUUACUGUGUGAAUUUUUUAUUUGUAAUUUUUCUACUGUGCAAAUUACAUAUAAAUUUUUGUAAAAAAAAAAUAUCAAACAAGUCGUCAAUCUUGCAUCAUAUCUUUGAAUUUGACUAUGGUGGUGAAAUCCAUAGAUAAAAGCAAUAACUAAAAGAAUAAAAGCAAAAUCAAUUUUGUUGAAAACAUUUGUUAAAUGAAAACCAGUAAGCAUCGAUUCAAUUGAUUCAAUUAUUUCAAGAUGAUUAAGAGUUACUUUUAAAGUAAUGCAAAAGCAAUAACUAAACUAGUGCAUAAAAGCAUCAAUUAAGCUUAAAUAUAGUUAAAUAAUACAAUAGAAAGUUAUUAAGAUGCAAUCAUGCAAAAUAGGUGAGCAAAUCACUAUAAAAGCAUCAAGUGAGUUUCAUACAGUUAGCCGUGCACCAAUUACCAAAUUCCAAUAGUAUUUUCAAGAUACUAAAUGCAUAAAUAACAUACAAGUUUCAUAAUAAUGCUAAUACAACAAACAAAAUGCAUGGUCCAAAACAGAAUAAAUUAGGUGAGCAAAUUCAAUUGUAACCUGAAGAGUUAUAUUAAAGCAAUGAAGAUAAAGCAGCAUUCCACAAAUUUAUAUCACUCACUGGAACACAAGUAAUCAGCUGAAACUCAUUCUGGCAAAGUGGGCAGAGAUUAGUGAUGGUUGCCCAGUUGUCAAUGCAGGCAAAGCAGAACCUGUGAAACAAAUGAACCAUGCUAAAAAUAUCAUAUUCCUAUUUCAACAUGAACACUGAAAAAGAAGGAAAGAAAAAGCAGCAUUUACUGAGAACUGGUAGAGAAAACACUUAAAACGUAACAUAACAGACUGGAUAUGAAUACUAAUAGAGUCCCUAAUACAUGCGCAAAGGAAGUCCCCCCAAACAUACAGAGAAAGUUAUUCUUCUUAAAGGUCUUUUAACACAAUCCAAUUUGAGGAAGAAUUACACCAAGUAGUUUGAAGGGGCUAACAACAGUAGUUUUUGCUGAGAGAGUAAACUACCAAUGAUCAAAUACAUAAUAAACAAGAUAUUAGUCUACAACGUAUUUAUAAAGUGGCCCAUGACAUAUUUUGUUUAAUUUAAUUGUAUAUUUUUUCUUUGUUUCACCAUUAAAAAAAUAAAAAAAUUAUUUCUUCAUUUUGUUACCUAUGUGAUAUAGAGACAAAGACUCUAACUCCGUUAUAUUAAAUUUAUGCAUCUAUAUAAAUUAAUUGUUCUCAGUCAUCAAUUUAAGAUUUAUUAAUUUACAUUAUAACUUUUUUAAAUCAUAUUUUAAAUAAUUUAUAUUUUUAAUUUGAUAUCAGAUAAUUAAAAUUAAUAAGCAUAUAUAUUAUAUAUAUUUAUUGCCUGAAACUCGAGUAAAAAAAAUGAUAACCCAUGAAUUGAGAUUUUUGAACAAAAAUAUCUUUAUAAAAAUAUAAAAAGUUAAAAACUAUAAAUUGGUGUUUUUAUUUUUUUAUAAAUUAUUUUAAAUAUUAGAGAAUAAUACUUUAAACACUACUAAUGGUUUAAUAUUUUUAAAACCAGCUUUAAGGAUAUAGUUGGAUGAGUCAAAAACAGGUAUAGUCGGCGGGUGGCUUAGUGAGAAGUCAAAUAUAGGACAGCCAAAUUUAAUUAGGCACUAGCCGCCGGAAUUGAAAAAGUCCCGUUAUUUUUUUUCUACCUUUUUAGUUGGCUACCAUAAGAAUUUAUUUUAUAUAUAUAUAUAUAUAUAUAUAUAUAUAAUUUAGUCGAUUACAACAAUUUAAUUAUUGUAAAUAUUUAAUUUUUAUUAUAAUAAUUUUUAAAAUCACAUGUAUAAAUAAUUGUAAUAUGUUAGUAUUUAAAAUUAUUUACAUUGAUUAUUAUAUGAAAUGUCAUUAUUUUAUAUAAUUAAAGGUGAGCGGAAAGAGUUUAUAGCUUAAUUUACUUAGUUUUAAUUUAAAAAGUUAAAAUAUAAAACUACUAAAAAACAUUUCAGGCUUAAUGACCAUCCUAAUAGGGAUAUAAAAUUAUAAAAUAUAAUAAAUGAUAUUAUGAAAUUAAAAAAAUGUAUUUAUAAAUUAAAACAAUGAAAAAACUGUUGUGACGUCAUUUUUACAUGUUAUUGCUAAUACAUAAUCAUAAUAUCAUAAAAAAACGGUUCAAUCACUAGAAUUGAAGGAGAUUAUAAAAUUUCAUAACAUUUUAUAAAAUUUGAAUUUAAAAUUAAAUUUAAACAAAAUACAAAAUAAAAAAUACAUUAAAUUUUUAUAAUUUUAAAGAUGUACUUAACCAUUCAAUAAAAAAUCAUAAAGCUACUCUUUAAAAACUUACAAAUUUCGAGCUAACAAUACUCUUGUUUACUUGUUAUUUUAAUUGUAAACUUGCGUGUUUGUUUUUUUUUAUUUGAAAUAGGAACCAUUUUCAUUACAAAAGGAAUAUAUCCUUACAAAUCAACUGGAAGAGUUCUUAUAUUUGAUUGUAAAGUAUAGAUAGAGAUAUCCGGGUUUUGUUUUUCAGUACUCUUUAUUUUAAUUCUUUAUUUAUGAAUUUACUCUUUUUAAAAGAAAAUUAUAUAUUAAAUUAUUUUAUUUCCUUUUUUAGUUAUAAGUCAUUUUUUUAGAUAGCGACUUAUUAAGUUUACAAAGACGACUUUUCAAAUUAAUAAAAUAUACAUAUAUAUAUAUAUAUAUAUAUAUAAUUUGUUCAUAAAAAAACAACAUAAAAUUUAAAUUAAUUUAAAUUAUGCAUAAUAUUUAAGUAAUGUUUUUGAGUUUGACUAAUUAACUGAUAUAAUAUAUAUUUUUUGACAUUUUUUUCUAAUAAUCGAAUAUUAUCAUCGGUAUAUUUUAAUUACGAAUUAUGUCGGUUAAUCAGUCAUAUUAAAAAAUAUUAUUUAAAUGUUAUAUACAACUUUAAUUAAUUUUCUUAAUUUGACAUUUUUAUUGUUGUUUUUUAUAAAUAAAUUAUAUGUAUAAUAUAAUAUAAUAUAAUAUAAUAUAAUUUUCGUUAAUUUAAAAAAAAAUUAAUAAUCUCUUAAAAAAGUCGUUAUUUAUAAAAAUACUUAUAAAUAUAAUAAAAAAAUAUUUUAGUAUAUAAUUUUUUUUAAAAUAAUUUAAUAAGUUUUUUUUUAAUUGAGUCUAUGAAAAAAUAAUCUUAGAUAUUCUUUUUUUUUUUUACGAUAAAAAUAAUAUCCUUAAGAUUGAAUACAAACAUAGGAAAAAUAAUAUUAAUUAACAAUAAUUUAUUAUUAAUAAUAUUAAUAUGAAAAAUAAUAUUUUAAAAAAAUAUAUAUUCAAAAAUAAGUUUUAUGAAAAUUUUCUAAAAAUAAUUUAUUAUUUUUUUUUGAAAAUUUAUUAUUUAAAUAAAGAAAUUAUUAAAAAUAGUUAAAAUAUUAAAAAUUAAAAUUAUUUAAAAAAAAUGUUAUAACAAAAAGUACUAUAAAAAUUAUUUUAAGAAAAAUCUAAAACAUACAAAUUCAUUGUAUUUAAACAAACUUUCAAAUCAUAGUAAUUUACAAAUUUUAUUAAUUUAUUAAAGAUGUAAACGUAAGUUAUACUCCACCGUGUAUAUAUAGAGUUUGGGUGUGAGUCCAUAAUAGAAACACACACGGUGUAUUGUUAAGAAAAAUUAAUGAAGAUGAAGUUGGCAAUCCAAUUUCCAAUACUAAUAGUAAUAGUAUUAGUAGGAUGGUGUUGGGCGGAGCAAUGUGGAAAACAAGCUGGUGGUGCGUUGUGCCCCGGUGGAUUAUGCUGCAGCAAAUUUGGUUGGUGUGGUUCAACCAGUGACUAUUGCGGUGAUGGUUGCCAGAGUCAAUGUGGAAGCGGUGGUGGUGGUGUUGGUAGCAUCAUAUCGAGGGACACCUUCAACCAGAUGCUGAAGCAUCGAGACGAUAGUGGUUGUGAGGGGAAAGGAUUCUACACCUACGAAGCUUUCAUUGCAGCUGCUAAGUAUUUCCCUGAUUUGGGUAAUAACGGAGAUACUGCAACUAAGAAAAGAGAGAUUGCGGCUUUCUUGGGACAAACAUCUCACGAAACGACAGGUGGAUGGUCAAGUGCACCUGAUGGUCCAUACGCUUGGGGAUAUUGCUUUUUGAGAGAACAGAACCCAAGUACAUACUGUCAACCAAGCUCUGAAUACCCAUGUGCUUCUGGUAAGCAAUACUACGGUCGUGGUCCAAUACAGUUAUCUUGGAAUUAUAACUACGGACAGUGUGGUAGAGCAAUUGGUGUUGAUUUGCUUAAUAACCCAGACCUUGUUGCUACCGACCCUGUUAUUUCCUUCAAGACCGCUAUAUGGUUCUGGAUGACCCCACAGUCACCCAAGCCAUCCUGUCAUGAUGUUAUCACCGGACGAUGGAAUCCUUCUACUUCUGAUCGUGCGGCUGGUAGGCUUCCUGGUUAUGGUACUGUUACCAACAUCAUUAACGGUGGACUUGAAUGCGGUAGAGGACAUGAUAGCAGAGUUCAAGAUCGGAUCGGUUUUUACAAGAGAUACUGUGACAUCUUUGGUAUUGUUUACGGAGAUAACAUUGACUGUGCUUCUCAAACACCAUUUGCUUCUUCUCUAUCCUUCUCAUCAUUGCUGCUCCAAUCCAAACCAUCCACACCUAGUCAGUAGUCAACUCAACCACUCGUCUAUUAUAAAAUAAAUAAAUACGUACCAUGUAUGUUGAUUGUUCACGUCACAUGUAUCAAUGCACCUAUACCUACUUUGAAAAUUUCAGAAACAUUAUCCUUAUCUUUUUAUAAAAGAUGAUGAUUCACCAUUCACGCACGCACCUUAUAAAAAACUAGUACUAGAAGCCGCCGAGCCUGUGAUACAUUUUUUCUUUCUUUUUGUUUGAAAUGGCGAGGUAUAGCACUCUUUAUUCAACUGGUUGCACAAGUUAUCCAUAUUUGAAAACCAAAAACAGUUGAAUAAAAAACAUAAGACUAGUUCUACUCAAUUGCUCUGUGUUCCAAAAUCAAAACUAACUUUUUGGCUUAAUUUUUAUACGCUGCCUUAUAAAAUGUUUUACAUAAUUAAAAAAUUUCAACUAAUAUUUUUCUGUAAGUAUAUUAUAUUUAAUAAAUGUGAUUUUACUGUUAAACUCUUUAAAAUUAAAAAAUAAAAAUAAAACUUAAAUUUAUUAGUAAUCAAAUGUGUGAAAAUCUUCAUUUACAAUAUUUUGAAUUAAAUUCUUGAGUCAUUUCUAAUCAAUUAGUUCUACUCAAUUAUUGACGUUGAUUACUGGUUAUACGUAUUGAUUGUUUCAUCUGAUUAAUUCAUUCGAUUAUAAAUGUUAUUCUUUUUGUAGUAUUGAUUUUUACAAAUAAUUUUAAAUUUAAUUUUUAUAUAACAAAGUUAAGUAUUUGAAUAGUUGUAAGUAUUAAUUUACGAUAAAUUUAUCAACUAUUUCUAUACGACAAUGUUAUCUAUCAAAGUCGCUAUUUUCUUGCAUAUGUUUUCUAUUUUUACUUCUUUUCUUUAUGUGUCGUGUAGACGAACGUCACUCUCUUGUUAAAAUUAUACAUUUACAUUUCUUGAACUUCGAUUUAAGAUCUAUCAAUUUACAUUACAAUCUUUCCAAAUAAUUUUUUAAAUAAUUUAUAUCUUUCAUUUGAUGAGUCGGGAUUAAUAAAUUUGUCAUCUAUUUAUUGUAUGAAACUCAAAUAUAAUUAAUAUAUAAACUAAUUUAUUCCUAUUUUGGUUUUAUUUACUUUAUAUUAGAAGAAUUUAAAUCAAAUAUACAUUAUAUAUUUUAGAGAUCAAUUUCAAAUAGACAAAAUUGUAAAUACACUUUUAAGUUUAACUUAUUUUUUAAAUUUAUUUUUUAAUAUUUAUUAAAUUUGUCAGUUGUUUAGAAUAUGACAUUUGAAAGCGUCUCUAAAUUUGAGAAUAUUUGAUGAAUCAAAGAGAUAAAGUUAUAAGAGUUAUCUUAAAUGGAGUCUCUAUGAAUGUGUAGUUGAAAAAUAUCACCUACAUGUGAGAUAAGCAUCCAAUACGAUUUCAAACAUCUUGGUUCAAAUUGUUGCUUUCGUGACUAGAGUACUAUCGUCAUAACAAGAUGGAUAAUGAAUUUCUUGCCAAUAAUAUGACGUUUUAUAUCGAAAAAGAAAUAACUAAAAACUUUAAUUCUGAUUCAAUUAUUAAUAAUUUCAAGAUUUUAAGGGAACGAAGUGCACAACUUUAAUUCAAUGUAAAUGUUUCUUUUCACAUAUUAUAUUUUUAUUUUGUAUUGAUGUGUUAUGUUGAAUUUUUGAUAAAAUUAUAUAACUUUUAUGAAUUUUAAUUAUAAUAUUUUUGUUAAUAUUUAUCGCUUCCCUUAGUAUUUUAUGCAAGAUCUGCCACUGAAAAUCAAAAUCACAGUCAAAAAUUAUUUUUAUGUUCAAAUAGUCAUUAUAAUUUACAAAUCGACAGACACUAAAAAAAGUAAUAUAUUUGUCCAAAAGGAAAAAGUAAUAUAUGGACUAAAGCAGGAUAAUAAAAUUAAUAAUUUAACAAAAGAUAUUAUACUUUCAAAAUUUGGUGAAUCUAAAUUCAAAUCUCCAUUGAAACGACUCAUAUAGAGGGAAGAGAAAAAAAAAAGCUAAAUAGCGCAGGUCCCUUAACUUAAUUUCAGUUAACGGUUUAGUCUUUUAUCUUUUUUUUUUAUUUGGUCCUUUAUUUUAAUUUUAAGUGACAAUUUGAUUUUUUAUGUUUUAAAAUAUCAACAAUGUUAUCUUUUUUUUUUUUACAAAAAUUCAAAAAAUGCAUCAAAAUUUUCAAACAAAACCCAUAAAAUUAAUUACUUCAAUAUAAUGUAAAUUUUAUCAAAUCCAUACCUUAAAUUUUUAAAUAAACUCAUAUUUUCAUUAUUUAUUUAAUGAAUUUGAUGUUGUUGUAAAUUAAAAUAUGAGUUUAUUUGAAUAUUUAAGUUAUGCAUUUGAUGAAAUUUGCAUUAUAUUGAAGAUAAUAAUUAAUUUUAUGGGUUUUGUUUGAAAAUUUUAAUGAAUUUUUCGUAAAAAAAAAGGAUAAUAUUAUUGAUAUUUAAAAACAUAAAAGAUCAAAUUGUCACUUAAAAUUAAAAUAAACAACUAAAUCAAGAAGAAAAAAAAAACUAAAACGUUAACCAAAAUUAAAUUAAGGGAUCGCAUAUGUUAUAUAUAUUUAAAAUUAUAUAAUUUACAUAUUUAUUUUUAUUUAUACAUAUUAUAAUUAUUAUUGAUUAAAGCUUAAAGUUCGCACCUCUAAAUUUAGGUCUUGGAUCCAUUGCUGCAUUUUGUAAAAAUCAUUAACCAUCCAACAUAAUUACCAUAACAAAUACACACACAAAUUCAUUAUUCAGUAAACACAAUAUACAAAUCUAUCUUAAAACACAAUAAUAAUACAAAAUGAAAAACACAAUUAAUUUAAUUAUUUAAUAUUGAAUUAUUGAAUCAUCAAAAUUAUAAUUUAUAAGUUAUAGUUAAUCUAAUCAGUUUAUAUUGAACCGUUGAAAUAUCAAAAUUAGAAUAUAUAAAUUAUAGUUAUUCUAACUGAAGUAGUAAUAGCAAUUACAAGGAAGGAGGUUUGGAUUGUGAUCUCUUUUUGAAAUUUUUUAUUUAUAUAAUUAAUUUAAAUUAACUCAAGAUCAAUCUUGAAUUCAACAUAAAUUCUAAAACGUUAUAGAUAUGUUAAAAGUAAAUAAAACAUAAUGAUAAUGAAAUAGGAAGCAAUGCUUCUAAAAAUAGGUUGGCUAUUAUCACCAUAAACAAUGCUUCUAUUUUUAUGGGUAGAGAUUUAGAUUGCUUUUGAAAAAUUGUGGAUAAUUUAACUCAGAGCCUAUAAAAAUUUGCCAAAGUAAAUUUCAGUGGUAUAUGCAAAUUCACAUAUGUGCUUAAUUUUUAUUGAAUAACGGAUAAAUUAUCAUAAUUUUUCAAAGAGAAUCAUGAUUUUUUUUUUUAAAUGUAUAGUAAAUCAAUAAUCAAAUAUGUAUGAUAUUCAUGGGUAGGGUAAACAAGUUAUAAUAAUAAUAAUAAUAAUAAUAAUAAUAAUAAUAAUAAUAAUAAUAAUAAUAAUAAUUCAAGAAGAAAAAAAAAACUAAAACGUUAACCAAAAUUAAGUUAAGGAAUCGCAUAUGUUAUAUAUAUAUAUAUAUAUAUAUAUAUAUAUAUAAAGGGAUAUGUCUACCGCAAGAAAGAAAAUAGCAACACCAAAAUGAUAAAGUAUAAAUAAUAGCAGUCGGGGCAAACAAGAUUUGGUAACAUAAUAGAAGCCUUGAUGAAUUGAGUAUAUCAUGGAUUUGAUCUAAAUAAAGAUGACGAAUGAUUCACCAUUCAAACCACCAUAUAAAAACUAGUACUAGUAGCCGCCGGGCCUAUGAUGCGUUUUUUCUUUCUUUUUAUUUGAAAUGGCGAGGUAUAGCGCUCUUUAUUCAACUUCCAUUUUUGGUUGCACAAAGUUGAAUAAAAAACAAAAGACUAGUCCUACUCAAUUAUUCCGUCUUCCAAAAUCAAUACUAACUUUUUGGCUUAAUUUUAUACCUUGCCUUAUAAAAUGUUUUACAUAAUUACAAAAUUUCAACUAAUCUUAUUCUAAGUAUAUUAUAUUUUGUAGAUGUGAAUUUUACCAUUAAAGUUUAGCAUGCGUGAAUUUGAUCGUCAAACUCUUUAGAAUUAAAAAAUAAAAAUAAAAUUUAAAUUAUUGAGUAAUUUCUAAAUGUGUAAUAAGCUUAGCAUUUAUAUAUAUAUAUAUAUAUAUAUAUAUAUUUAAUAUUAUCGCAAUUGACUUUUAAAUUUACAAUAAUUAAACUUAUUAGGGAUGUGAGAGUUACAAAAUAGUUUAGAGAAGGUAAAGUGACGCGUUUACAGUUUAACUUCUCAUUUUAACAAAAUUAAUAACCAAUUACGAAAUGGACUAUUUAAAAAAAAAAAUCUUAUUUGAGAGAGUCUAACAUCAAAUGUUUGUCAAAUAUAUUUUAUCAAUCUUUCAUUGAUGAACACUCCGAUAUAUUUUCAAUUGAGAAUGCACUAGUACAUGUCGAAAGAUUUAGUUACCCAUACAUAACCACAAAGCUAAAUUAUUUGUUGUAUAUGUUAUUGGCAAAUUUAAUAUAUAUUAUAUUGAUUCCAUUUUUUGUUGCAAAUAAAUUAUAAAAUUUAGUAGUAUAUUUUAAAAUUAUAUAAUUUACAUAUUUAUUUUUAUUUAUACAUAUUAUAAUUAUUAUUGAUUAAAGCUUAAAGUUCGCACCUCUAAAUUUAGGUCUUGGAUCCAUUGCUGCAUUUUGUAAAAAUCAUUAACCAUCCAACAUAAUUACCAUAACAAAUACACACACAAAUUCAUUAUUCAGUAAACACAAUAUACAAAUCUAUCUUAAAACACAAUAAUAAUACAAAAUGAAAAACACAAUUAAUUUAAUUAUUUAAUAUUGAAUUAUUGAAUCAUCAAAAUUAUAAUUUAUAAGUUAUAGUUAAUCUAAUCAGUUUAUAUUGAACCGUUGAAAUAUCAAAAUUAGAAUAUAUAAAUUAUAGUUAUUCUAACUGAAGUAGUAAUAGCAAUUACAAGGAAGGAGGUUUGGAUUGUGAUCUCUUUUUGAAAUUUUUUAUUUAUAUAAUUAAUUUAAAUUAACUCAAGAUCAAUCUUGAAUUCAACAUAAAUUCUAAAACGUUAUAGAUAUGUUAAAAGUAAAUAAAACAUAAUGAUAAUGAAAUAGGAAGCAAUGCUUCUAAAAAUAGGUUGGCUAUUAUCACCAUAAACAAUGCUUCUAUUUUUAUGGGUAGAGAUUUAGAUUGCUUUUGAAAAAUUGUGGAUAAUUUAACUCAGAGCCUAUAAAAAUUUGCCAAAGUAAAUUUCAGUGGUAUAUGCAAAUUCACAUAUGUGCUUAAUUUUUAUUGAAUAACGGAUAAAUUAUCAUAAUUUUUCAAAGAGAAUCAUGAUUUUUUUUUUAAAUGUAUAGUAAAUCAAUAAUCAAAUAUGUAUGAUAUUCAUGGGUAGGGUAAACAAGUUAUAAUAAUAAUAAUAAUAAUAAUAAUAAUAAUAAUAAUAAUAAUAAUAAUAAUAAUAAUAAUAAUAAUAAUAAUAAUAAUGAAAUAUGAAUGUUCCUAAAUAUUCAUUCUUUUUUCCUUGUUUUGGCCAAGCAGGACAAAUAUAAAUAUAAAUACUUCUACAUAGGCAUACAUUGGAGUACUUAGCAACGAGUUAGAGUUGGGGUAUGAAGCCAUGCCUUGAAAUCGCCUAUUGGAAUGAAAUCAAUCUUUGCCACUUGUCUUGUUUUGAUAUUGUAACAAAAGUGUACAUGUGUCGCUAAUCCUGUUGGACCCGAAAUAGAUUUUGGAACAAACAUUACCAUAAAGAUAAUUUGGUCGUUGAUCCAAAACCGAAAAAUCAUAGACGUUGCCAUUAUAUUAAAAUCAAAACCAAGCAUAUGGCUGCAAAUACCCGCAUUAUGAAAAGGUCUAAUCUCAUGAUAAAGAGUCCAUUUUCCUGAAUCCAUAUCCAAAGUAUAGAUUUGAUAUGUUCUACUGUCUUUUUCAUCCAUAAAGAAAGAAAGACAAUCUCCCGUCCAUAAAUAAACUGGAAGUGGAAAAGUAUCCACUGGUUGAGGGGGGAGUGGAUAUUCUCUUAUAAUAAUUUCCUUGUCAACAUCCAUCACAAUCACUCCUUCCUCUGUUAUCCAAUAAAUAUCAUUGUCUCCAUUAUGAACUGGUUUCCAUGCUAAAAGACCCGUGUAAUUCAACAACUUAACUUCUUUUCUAACUAUCUCUUUCCAUGUGUUGUCAAUUCCAAUUCUUAGGACGUUGAAAACAUACCAAUUGACCCCUGAAACAUUUUGGUCAUCUAUUAAGAACACCUUGAACUUGCCAGUGCGGGGAACACAUGCUAUAGUAGAUCGCAAUUGAGCCUGUAGUUUUGAAAGGGGUAAAGGAGUAUUAAGAACACCUUGAACUUGCCAGUGCGGGGAACACAUGCUAUAGUAGAUCGGAAUUGAGCGUGUAGUUUUGAAAGGGGUAAAGGAGGAAUUCUAAAGCAGCACUUAAUGAUGGGGUUUACGACGUAAGUAAGUCUAAAACGAUCACAAAGCAGAAACAUGCCAUCAGAAAUGGCGACUAUCUCUCCAAAUCUCCAAGAGAGUCCCAAAUAAAUCCUUUCAGAAUGUCCCUUGACAUAGUCUUGAAUAUUCAAGAAAUAAGAAGCCUCUGUUGCAUGUAUAAUUUCAAUAUAAAUACCAGGUGGUUUACCACGUAGGCAGGCUUGAAUAGCAGUAGCCCAAGGUUUGGAAACGUGCCUUGCAGAGUUAAGCAGACACUUAAGAGGAACCAAACUAAGGAUAGCAAGCAUCAACUCUUGAGGAAGCUUUGAAAUCAGAUCAAAAUUCUUACUACUAUUUGAGUUUUGCUGAAUAUUCAUAUUCUGCUUGUUUGUUGCACGGUCAUGAUGACGUGAGUCAGAGUAAGUGCACUUAUUUAUAGAUUUAAAUCUCUGCCUUUUAACUCGACCAAUUGUCUUUUCCGUCUUCCUCCUUUUCACUUCCAAGAUUUCAACAUCACACUCUUUACCGUCUUCGACCUCUUUUUCUUUAACGUCCUCCUCCCUUUUGGUCUCAUUUUUAGGACGAGCUUUCAUCACACUCUUUACCGUCUUCGACCUCUUUUUCUUUAACGUCCUCCUCCCUUUUGGUCUCAUUUUUAGGACGAGCUUUCUGUGAUAUUAAACUCAUCUUUUACAAUUGAACCUGAAAAAGAAAUAAAAGUACAACUCAGAUGAUAUAACACACCUCUAAUCCAAUAUGACAGUUGGAAACUGAAAUAUAAUAUGAGAACAGUAGACAACGGACUCGAUAGGAUAGUAUAAGACGACAACAAAUCCAACUGAUAGAACAUCAAAAUGAAUAAUGAUUGGUGAAAUCAAAUGAUGAGUAACAUAAAUAAAUAAAUAAAUACAGUCAUACGGUAAGCUUGAAUUGAAUAUUGAAUUUAUUUAUUUCAUACAUAAAUCAUCAAUAAUUUAACCAUUUGUGCAGCAAUCAGCUACAAUGAAAAUCAUUUAUACAAUAUUCAACAGAAAGAACAGAUUUUUCAGGUUGAUAACCCUCAAUUUCCAAUGCUGUUCCAUGCACAAAAUUCGACAAACCAAUCAGAAGUAACAUUAAUGAUGAGUCAGCAAAUGCCACUACAAAGGAACAGUUAUGGAACCAAGGAGCCUAGAAAGAGUAACAGGCAGAAAAUAACCAUCUCCAAAAUGUGAUGAUUAUGUGAGAGGCAAAAAACUGAAAGUAGUGGUGUGGAACUUGGGCUGAAAUUCCUCUUCCAAUUUCAUAAUAUUAUAUUUUUAUCAAAUGAAAUACCAAAAACUCAAACUAUUUUAUUAAAAUUCAGCGAAAUAAAUAAAUUGUAAAUAACAUCUAAAUACAACUUCAGGCUCAUACUAGCCUUCUUACCAUUUAAAAAUAGCCCUUCAAACACGAAGCAAACCAAUAAUAGAUAUAAUAAUGCAGUAAUGAGUUUCAUUGUAAAUCUUAUACAUCCAAUAAUAGAUUACCAGAAAACUAACUAUUACUACCAUUGUAAAUCACAAAAUCAAUAAUGAGUUCUUAAAAUAUAAAACCUUGACAUUAGAUUAGAUAAUGAGUUCCUAAAUUCAAUAAUCAAUCAUUUCAAAGUUUCUAAAAUCAACCUUUGCUGAUGAGAGUUGAGAGAAAUUAGGCUUAGUAUUUUUUUGGAGAGGAGAUAGAGAGAAGAUAGUCUCUUUAAAUUGGGUAUUUAUUUCGGACAUUUAUUUUAAGUAUAGGGUGCAAAUAUAAAGUUUUAGAACUGUUCGUGUACAAAAUUAAUGCAAUUUUCAAAGUUCAUAUAUAUUAUUACAAAAGAGAUUUGGGGCAUCCCUAUUGGGGAACUGUGCCAAUGUUUUGUAUAAUGUAACUGACUUUUGAAGAAAAAAAAAACCAUGGUUUUGUACAAGACCAUUCUAAAAUUUAUAUUUACACCUUAUGCACAAAAUAAAUGUCCAAAAUAAAUAGACAAUUUGAAUAGACUAUCUUAUCGGCAUCUCUCUAAACAAAUAUUUAACUUAAUUUCUCUCGAAUCUCGUCAACAAAGAUUAGAAUCUUGAAUCUUGAUGUUAGUGUUUUAGAUCUUUGUUUAGCAACAUUUUAGAAUUGAUUUCAAUAAAACAGUAAGCUAUAUUUUCCUUCCCAUUUUAUUUCAUUUCACAUUGCAGUUACAAAUAUGAAUAAUUCACACAAUCAAACUAAACAAGACAAAUAAAUAACCAAAAUUAAGAACAGUGAAACCAAAAUUAGUAUUUCCAAAUAUAUUAAACAUAUAAAAUGAAAAAUAAAACCUUCAAGACAAACCCUAAGUUAAACACAUUGAAUCCAACUUAAUAAAAACAGAAAGAAACCACCAAAGACCCAAAACAGAAAACGUUCAAAAACCCUAAAAAAUUCAAAACUUUAAUGGAUUCAAAAUGUCACAAUCAUAAAAUUGAAAAUAAAUUUAAAAAUCGUAAAAGACUCACCCUAACCUUUUUGCUCUUACUCACCGUGAUGACGACCUUCCAACACAUAAUAUAAUGGCAUGCUCAGUAGAUGGUGGUGGCUUCCAAAGAGAAACGACCGAACCGGUCGUUGAGGUUUGAAGCAUAAACAAAAGAUGUUUUUGUCUAGAGAUAGAGAAAUUGUACCAAAUAGAUAGUGUUUCUUUCUCCACUCACAACACAACUUUCACACACACGCGCAUUUUAUUAUUACUGCAGUGGAUACCAACACAAAUUAGGUUUUUAUUUAUUUAUAUAUCAGCAUUUUUUUUUACAUUAAAAUACUCUACUCCCAAUUAAUAUUACCUAAUUCACUAGAAAAUCAUUGGCCCAAAGAACGACCAAUUGAAAAAGAGAGAAUUUUUCUUUUUAGAAAAAUUUACCUCGUACCUUCAAACAAUUUUCAAAAUGUCAAAAAUACCUUCAAAUUUCUUUUUACUAUUUCACCAGAUGAAAGUUAAAAAUUUUUUUCUUCCAUUUUCUCAUUUUCGGAACAGUAAAAAAGAUUUCUAGUAGGUUCUAGUUUUUCGGUAACUUCCGGAAAACUUUAAAUAAGAUUUCCGGUACAUAGUAUACUUCCGAAAAAGUUUUCUUAAGUUUUCCGAUACAGAAGGUAAAUUCCGGAAAACAAACAAUUUUCUAGUACAGAAGGGGAAAAUUGUGUACCGAAAAACUUAAUUGUCAAGUUCUCCGGUACAAAACUGUGUUCCGGAAAUCUUCAUACACAAGUUUUUUCGGUAUAGAAUUGUAUUCCGAAAAACUUCAUACCCAAGUUUUCCGGUACAGAACUAUAUUUUGAAAUUAAUUCUUUAGUUUUUUUGAAUUUUAUUAAAUUUUUUAAAAUGUUAACAGAUAUGGAUAAACCGUUACUAUUAAUGGAUAAAACAUGCGUCGAUACUACAAAUAUUUUUGACACAUAUCAGGUAUGAAUAAAUAUAAUUAAUAUUAAUAUUGUAAAAAUAUAUUAUGGUGAUUAAUUAUAAUUUAUUUUACUUCAGAUAUUUGAUACAAAGGGACACUGUUGUGAAUUGGGCAAAAGAAAUCGGUAUAAAAAAUAAAGUUACUGUUAUUAUUAGAAGAUCAGAUAUAGAGACAAGAGAGAAAUGAAGAAGAAAUAAAUUAAUAUUAGGUAGUGACAAAUGAGGGAAAUACAACUGUGCUGCUAGUUCAACUCGAAGUUCAACAAAAAAGUGUGAUUGUCCUUUAAAGCUUAGAUCAAAACCAUUAAAAGCUGGUUCAGGAUGGAUAGUUAAAGUAAUUUGUGGAAUUCACAACCAUGAAUUACUAGAUACUUUGGAGGGACAUGUAUAUGUUGGACGCUUAAACGAUGAAGAAAGAAAGCAUGUUCGUGACUUAACAAAAUAUAAUGUUGCACCGAGACACUUAUUACUCUCAUUGCAAUACUGAGAUAAGAGUAAUGUUAUUAAGAUCUCACAAAUAUAUAAAUAUAUGAGUGUGAUUCGAUUUCACGUGAGAGCUAAUAGAACAGAGAUGCAACAUUUAUUCAAGUUAAUUGAAGAUGCAAAAUAUGUGUGUUGGAAUAGAAAGCGUGAAGACUCCGAUGUUAUGAGAGAUACUUUUUAGGCGCUUCCAAAUUCAGUGAAAAUGUUGAAUUUGCUUCCGAUUGUGUUGAUUAUGGAAAUUACAUACAAAACCAAUAAAAUACAUAAUGUCAUUACUUGAAAUUGUUGAUAUCACAUUAACAAAGAAUACGUUUGUAGUUGGAUUUGCUUAUUUGGAAUGUGAGCGGGAAUAAAACUUUUGCUGGAUGUUAGAGAGACUAAGAGAUUUGUUUGUUACACAAAAAAAAUAUCCUCAAGUAAUUGUGACAGACGGAGAUCUUGCGUUAAUGAAUGAAGUUGGUAUCGUAUUUUUACAUGCUUUUAAUUUACUUUGUCGAUUUCAUAUAAAAAAAAAUAUUGAAGCAAAAUGCAAGCAAUAUGUCUUAAAGGAUAGACAAGAGUCGAUAUUUAAUAUGUGGAAAGACAUUAUAUAUUGCAGUGAUGAAAAAUACUAUAUCAUGCAGUUGCACAUGUUUGAGCAAUCAUGUGUUGAUUCUAGAGUGUUUGUUUAUUAUGUGAAAGAAACUUGGUUGACUCCAGGUAAGAAAGGAUAAAGAAAGAGAAAUUGUACCAAAUACAUAGUGUUUCUCUCUCCGCUCACAACACAAGUUUCACACACACGCGCAUUUUAUUAUUACGGCAUUGGAUAGCAACCACAAAUUAGGUUUUUUUUUAUUUAUAUAUCGCAUUUUAUUUUAUUUACAUUAAAAUACUCUACCCCCAAUUAAUAUUACUUCAUUCACUAAAAAAUCGUUGGUCCAAUUAAUAUUAAAUAUGAUUAUAAUUAAAAAUAGUAAAUUAUAUUAUAAAUUUCAAAGAAAAUAUAUAUAAAAAAAAUUAUAUUAAUAACAUUCUAUUAUAUUAAAUUUACGUAUUUAUAUAAAUUAAUUGUUCUCAGUUAUCAAUUUACAUUAUAACUUUUUCAAAUAAUCUUUUAAAUAAUUUAUAUCUUUGAUUUGAUAUCAGAUAAUUAAAAUUAAUAAGCAUAUCAUCUAUUUAUUGCGUGAAAUUCUGAAUUUUAAAAAUGACUCGUGAACUCGAGUAAAAAAAAUGAUAACUCAUGAAUUGAGAUUUUUAAACAAAAAUAUCUUUUUGAAAAUAUAAAAAAUUAACAACUAUAAAUUGGUAUUUUAAUUUUUUUAUAAAUUAUUUUAAAUAUUAAAUUAGAGAAAAUAAUACUUUAAACACUACUAAUUGUUUAAUAUUUUUAAAACCAACUUUAAGGAUAUAGUUGGAUGAGUCAAAAACAGGUAUAGUCGGCGGCGGGUGGCUUAGAGCAUCUACAACGGGAGUGAAAAUGAGUUCGUCCGCCAGCGUGUAAUUACUUAACUUCCAGUUUUUUGUGGGUUCACCUUUGGAGUUGUGCUAAGGUGUCAUCACGGUACUGUCAGGAAGGAACUGUGCUUCAUAGCAGUUACCUUUUUUGUUUUGUUUUUUCUAUCUACUUUUAUAAUUUAAUAAUAAUAUAAUUAUAACCGCUACCUUUUAUUAAUUUAUUAAUAAUAAUAAAUUUAUCAUUUUUUAUUAAUUUAUAGCCGUUAACUUCUUUUUAAUUUAUUAAAUAAUAAUAAUUUUGUAACCAUUAGCUUUUUUUUUAGCCUUUUUUUUCUCCUUUAAUUACGAUUGUUAACUCAUUAAUAGAAACAAUUUGUUACUCAUACUUUUUCUUCACAAUUUUUGUUACAGAAGUUUAUUAAAGUUUUUAUUAACGUACUUUUUAUUUAUUUUUCCAUUUAAAUUAAUAUUUUAAGUUAUAAUAAAAUUAAAUAUUAAUGUAUAAAUUAAAGUAAUGGAAUAUAAUAUGAUUUUUUAAAAGUUAAACAGUAAAAAAUGAAUGAGUUGAUUUAAGGUGAUGUGACAUAGUAGAACUUAGAAUUGUUGAGUUCACCGUUGGAGUAGAAAAUGAUUGAAUUGCUUCAAGAUGAUGUGGCACAGUGGACUCCAUCUAAAGAACCCAUAUUGAGUUCACCGUUGUAGAUGCUCUUAGUGAGAAGUCAAAUAUAGGACAGCCAAAUUUAAUUAGGCACUAGCCGCCGGAAUUGAAAAAGUCCCGUUACUUUUUUUUCUACCUUUUUAGUUGGCUACCAUAAGAAUUAAUUAAUUAAUUAAUUAUAUAUAUAUAUAUAUAUAUAUAUAUUUUAUUUGAUUAAAUAAAUUAUUAUAUGAAAUGUUAUUAUUUUAUAUCGUUAAAGGUGAGUGGAAAGAGUUUAUAGCUUAAUUUACUUAGUUUUAAAAGUUUUUAAUUUAAAAAAUUAACAUAUAAAACUGUUGUGACAUAUUUUUUACAUAUUAUCGCUAAUACAUAAUCAUUAUAUCAUAAAAAAAGGUUCAAUCAUUAGAAUUGAAGGAGAUUAAAAAAUUUCAUAACAUUUCAUUAUAUGAAAUAGAUAGAUAAAAAAUAUGAAUUUAAAAUUAAAUGAUUAAAAAUCAAAUUUAAAUAAAAUAAAAAUAAAAAAUAUAUUAAUCUUUUAUAAUUUUAAAGAUGUACUUGAUCGUUCAAUAAAAAAUCAUAAAACUGUUUUCUAAAAACUUACAAAUUUCGAGCAACAAUGCUCCUGUUUACUUGUUAUUUUAAUUAUAAACUUGCGUGUUUGUUUUAUUUAUUUAUUUAAAAUAGUAACCAUUUUCAUUACAAAAGAAAUAUAUCCUUACAAAUCAACGGGAAGAUUUCUUAUAUUUGAUUGUAAAGUAUAGAUAGAUAUUCUAGUUUUAUUUUUCAGUACUCUUUAUUUUAAAUUUUUUUUAUCAAUUUACUCAAGAAAACUAUAUAUUAAAUUAUUUUAUUUCUUUUUUAAUUAUAAGUCGUUUUUUUAAAUAGUGACUUAUUAAAUUUACAAAGACGACUUUUUUAAAUUAACAAUAUAUAUAUAUAUAUAUAUAUAAUUCGUUAAUAAAAAAUGAUAUAAAUUUUAAAUUAUAUAAAUUAAUUUAAAUUAUUCGUAAUAUUUGAAUAAUAUUUUUGAAUUUGAUUAAUUAAUUGAUAUAGUUUGUGUUUUUUGACACUUUUUAAUUGUGAAUUAUGUCGAUUAACUGGUCAUACUAAAAAAUAUUAUUUAAAUAUUAAAUGCAACUUUAAUUAAUCUUCGCAAUUUAACAUUUGUGUUAUUGUUUUUUAUAAAUAAAUUAUAUAUAUAAUAUAAUUUUUGUUAAUUUAAAAAAAAAUUAAAAAAAUCUCUUAAGAAAAUCGUUAUUUAUAAAGACGACUUAUACGUAUAAUAAAAAAAAUAUUUUAGUAUAUAAUUUUUAAAAAUAAAUAGUUUAAUAAGUUUUUUUCAAAAUUGAGUUAUUGAAAGAAAAUCCUAGAUAUUCUUUUUUUUUUUAAGGUAAAAAUAAUAUUCUUAAGAAUGAAUACAAACAUAGGAAAAAUAAUAUUUCAUAAUUUAGAUAUUUUAAUUAACAAUAAUUUAUUAUUAAUUAAAAAUAAUAAUUUUAAUAUUUAAUAAUUUAGAUAUUUAUUAUUAAUAUUUAUUUAAUCAUUAAUUUAGAAAGAAAUUGAAGAAAUUUUUAUUCAACAUAUUGAAAAUAGGUAGUUGUGUUUGAGUUACUGUAAUAUUGAAAAUUUAUUUAUUAUAUAUUCUUUUUUUUAAAAAAAUGUUUAAAAGUAAUUAUUUUCAAAGUUUUUAUUUGUUUGUUAUGGCUUCUGAAAAAAAAUUUAAAUCUAAAAAAUAUUUAAAAAAUAUUUCAUAUAAAAAACUAAUUUAGGAAGGUUCACAUAAAAAUAAUUUUUAUGACAAUUUUUUUAAAAAUGAUAAUUUUAAUUAUAAUAAUAGACCAACACAAAACUACAUUUAAAAAAAAAUUAUAGUAAUAAUAUCUAAAUUAUUAAAUUUUAGAAUUAUUUUUCUAUAAUAUGUAACAAAUGAACUAUAAAUUGAUUUCUCAAUCGAAAUUAAGAGAAUAGUUUGUUAUGUUAAAAAAAACUAACCUCUCUCUUUCUACUUUGAUAGUUUAUAUUUGUUAAGUUUAAUAAUUUCUUAUCUUAUUUAAGAGGCUUAGUGACAAUAUUCAUCUAUCUUGUAUCUUCUAUUUUUUUAAUGAUGAUUGAUUAAUUUUUCAGGGGACUAAUCGAUUUAUUUUAGUCCAUGUCAUAUAUUUUUGCUUAGAUCUUUAUCAUAUAUUAUAUUAAUUGAACAAAAAUCAAAUAUUAUAAAGACUAAAACAAAGGUUAAUGAAAAAUGAAAUAGAUUGAUUUUUGAAAGAAAAUAUUUCCAUUAGUCUCUUUGUUGUUUGGAGGAAGAUGAAGAGGAGGAAAUGAAAAGUACGAUUUUUAAUUUAAUGUGUUUACUUUAUUUUUUAGAAGAGAAUGAUAGGAGAACAAAAUCUCUCAUAGACCGACUAUUUGCUUACACCAAAUUAAAGGAAUUUGGAGUAACUAAAAUCACUUCUAGAUCAUUUAAAAAUAUAUUUCCACCCUUUAAAACAAACAUACUUUUAAUUAAAACUUAUCUCCUCUUCUUUUAAAUGAAACACAUCUAUUUUCAUUUCUUCCUUCCCUCUCCUCUCCUCCCUCCCUUCCAUUAACAUCUUUUUCUCACUCCACUUCAUUAAACCAAAAUGGUAGCUGAACAAUGUUGGUCGAUAUAAAAAAAUGUGCUACCAUUCAGACAUAGAAUGGAGAACUUAGUAAAUGUUACCAGAUAAGCUUAUCAAUAUACUAAGUAGGCACAACCUCCUUUCAAGGCCCCCAUUCAAAUAGAACUUUAUGCUGCAAAUGGUAGCUAAACAAUGUUGGCCGAUAUAAAAAAUUGUGCUACCAUCUGAACGGUAAAAUGUUAAUGCUACCUCACUUCAGACAUAGAAUGGAGAACUUGGUAAAUGUUACCAGAUAAGCUUAUCAAUAUACUAAAUUUAAUGAACUAUUGUGAAAAACUAAGUUUAAAUAGGGCAAUCAAUUGUCAAGCUUUAAAAUAUAAAAAAUGGUGAAGUGGCACUACGCAGGGUUGCAGGAAUUUUAGUUGAAGUAACGGUGUUGCAGAGAAAUGGCCACACAAAAAAAUCUUCCACAGUUCAAGAACUUAAUCCUUGAUCAUUAGUGCACGUACAUGUUGUUCUACACUACGUUUGCCACCUCUAGGUUGGGCAAUGGUCGAGUUUGGGCGCAUCAGUUCUAAUUUUAUCAAACCAUCUAAAACAAAGUAUGCAAUUUACAAGCCGAAUUUCAACUAAUUUUGCAUUGGUUUAGGGGGGUUUUGGUUUGAGCGGAUUAUCCAUAAUUGUGUUUCUAUACACAAUUUAUACUAAAAAAAUACAAGUAUUAGUUACUAUUGCGCCAAUAUGAAUGAAUUUUUUUCAUGUGUGUGGAGUGUCACAGAUACCCUUACUGAGAGCUACCGAUAACAGUCGAGCAAAAGACAAAAUUCAUAUGAAAGAUUGAAUUUUGCAUACCAUAAGAUCCCAUUCCUCCUGACAAGAAUUUCACCUAGACCUCAAGUCAAAAGAUCAAAUAGAAAGUUUUCUAUAUUUUCCAUGUCAUUCUUCCUGGUUUUCUAUACCUUUAACUUUAGGAAUCUAGUUAAGAAACUGAGUGCCAUUCUAGGUGGUGGACAAUACAGACUUCCAGUUUCUCAGGCUGUUGUGAUCAAAACAGCAAUGGGGUAACAAAACAGUCUAAACUUGAAUAUUCAAAUGCACGAGAUAAAAUGGUGGAAGUUGAGGAAACUCACUAUGCAGUGCAUGCCACCUGCUGAUUUCCGGACCCUGUUGUGACAGUCUUUCAGAACUGAUAGAGCAUUGCCACAUUCACUGUGCUAUUUCCAACUUUCAUGGUAUGAUUUGUUAAUUGGAAUUGCUAUGAACCUAUCCUUAUAUCCGAGUCUUGUAAGGAUCAAAUACCCACACCUAAUAGCUAUCAGCCAAUCCAUGCAUUUAAGUUUACAAAGAUAAAAUUAAAUAUAUCCGCUAAUGAUAGAUAUAAAUGGUUGGUAACAACUUGUGAAGCUCAACAAAAGAGAUAUAGGCAAUUAUUUUUUCCAAAAUUGAUAUAUCAACAACUCGAUCAUGCUCAAGGACAUUAAAUUGAAAGAAAGGUAGCUUAAAAAAAAAACAAGCGUAGAAUGGUAUACAUGUUCACCCUCAGAAGAAUAUUGAAUGUAUUUAAAGAUUUGGAUGCAGUUGAUAUAAUAAAGAGUAGGUACAUACAGCGUCAGUGCUUAUUGGUUGUAGUAGGAGAAGGAGAAUGAAACAGAAAUUGUAUGACAACAAUGAUUGUAAUAAUGUACAGAAAGUGAAACUCAUAUAUUGCUUACAGAGGGAUAACAAAUAUGAAAGGUAAAGAAAAAGCUAUUAUGAGUUAAUGGAAAAUGGGCAACGGAAGCAGUGAGGUAGAUGAUUGAACGCAUUCACUCAGCAGCAAUCUGUAAAUUUGGUAAAGAGAUUUUGUAAGAGAAGAAAUAUAAAUGAUGAAAAAGGAAAAUGAAGUAUUGACUGACUUGAUUAAGAGGAUUGUCAGGAGAUUUCUUCCAAAGCUUCCAAAUCAUAUCUUUGUAUUGAGUGUAGGUAAGACCCGGUUUAUCUUGCUUCAACUUAGGGAGUUCAACUUCUUCAAAUGCCUGAAAAAUCAAAUCAAAUGAAAAUAACGAUUAUGUUGAGAAAAUGAAAGAGGAAGCAGAAGGAGGAUGGAUACCUUGAAGGAAGCCUUGAGUCGCCUCUCGGGAUGCCUGUCGGGUGGUAAGUUGUUAUCGAUACUCAUCUGAGCGAUCGCUUCGUCAAGAGUACUAGCUUCUAUUAUCGAAUCGUCACGAUUCGUAUUCGACACAAGCACCAUUCUCUCGUACUCUUCCUCCGCAGCGGUCCGCUUUUUGGAUUCUUCAGCCUUCUUCUGAGCCAGAGCCUGCUCUUCCUCGCGCCGCUUCCUCAGCUCCACCUCCGUCACCUUUGGUACAGGGAUCGACACCCUGUUCGCCUUCUUGUCCGGCUUUUUCAUCAUCUUCUCCAGCUCCUUCUCUUCCUCCUCUGCCAAACGACGCGCCUCCGCUCGUCGUGCUGCCGCCUCCGCCUUCUUAUCUGCCUCUUCCUCCCUUUUCUUUGCGGCGCGUGGUUUGGAACUCUCCGCCUCUCGCCAGUACUGGUCCUCCUUCUGUCGAGUCUCCCGCUCCUUUUUCUCCGUUUCCGCGGCGGUCUUGCGAGCCCUGGCCGCUUCCGCUUUGGAAUUCACCCCCAUCUUUUUCGGCAUCUUCUUUACUCUUUCAACCUAAAAUAGAACUAACUCACUAGCAGGGUUUUGUUGGUGAAUUAAUAAUAUUCUACUAUGUCUCUGCGACUGCAAUUACAACUGUUGAAGGGAAGGAACCGUGUAUACGCACAAAAUUCAUUCAUCCAUUCAUUCAUCGAAUUAGAUCCUUCCUAUCAGAUACAAGCCUUCUAAUGAUCCAUGGGCUUAGGCCCGCUUCAUUACUGUUGUCCACUAAUCUCAUUUUAAUCCAUUCAACCCAUAUUUUAAUUGUUAAGAAAAAAAAUAUUUAUUAUUCUACCGCAGCUAUUUUGAUGGGAUAUCACAAAAAAAAAUUUAAUUAAAAAUAAAAAAUUUUAAAAUAAAAAACGGUUUUCAACUUAAAGAAAUAAUUUGCAAAUGACGUUGAUGAUUGAACAAAAAUAUGAGACCAUGAUGUUUGUAAGAAUAGUCUAAGACAAUACAAAAGGUUUUAAAGACUGAGAAAGAAGAUGAUUAUAUGAUUUUUUUAGAUGAUGUAUAACAAUUAAAAUAUAUCAAUUUAGUCUCACCAAAACACGUAACAAUAUUUAAAAAAAAAUAUAACAUAAUUACAUAAAAAAUGACACAAUGAUUUGAAAAUUAUAAUUUUGAUGAAUCAAUGAUUUAAUCCAACCUAAAUAAAUUAACUCAUUGUAUUAUAGAAUUAUAAUUUCCAUGUCUUAGUUAAUCUAGUUAAGAUUAGAUCAUCAAAAUUGGGAUUUCUAAGUCAUUCUAUGUGUGACUAGUUUAGAUUGAAGCAAUUCAAUAUGAACUAAUUAGACUUAGAAAUUCAAUUUUUUAUAAUUUAACGGUUCAAUAUAACUUAAUUAGACUAACUAUAAUUUAAUAGUUCAAUUUUUAAUAAUCCAACAGUACAAUCAAACCUAAUCAUGAACCUGAGUUCAAGGAUGCAAACUUUAAAUUAUAGUUAAUAAUAAUUAUAAUAUGCAUAGAUUAAAAUAAAUGUUUAAAUUAUAUAAUUUUAAUAUAUAUACUACUAUAUUUUAUUAUUUAUGUUCAAUUAAAAAAGAAAUUAUAAUAUAUAUUAAAUCUACGAACCUACACAAUAAACAAUUUACCCUGUGGUAAAAUAUUUGUAAUUAAAACUACUGAUAUAAACGGUGGAAGUUGCUCUAGGAGUUUUCCACACUUUGAGGCUUCACAUACAUCAUCAUGAGUAGCCAUUGAUUCCUACAAUUUUUCAUCAUUUUGGAUUGGUAGGUAUAGGAUGGAAUAGAGUGGAACCACGUAGAAUGAUAUUUCAUCAAUUUAAAAAAAAAAAAAAUGCCUAUUCUAUUUCAUUCACAGUAAUGAUCAUAAAAAUAUCAGAUCUGCAUAAUCUUUAGACAAAUAUAAUGACGAGGAAGGAUGAGAUGAUAAGAAACUAGGAAGGCAGGAAAAAUAAUGAGAGUGCUAAGGGAAAAGAUAUUUGAGCUAUUUUAUACACGGUAAAGAAAAGUCCAGCUUCAUGUAUAAUUAUAGUUACAAAGACUUACAUCCAUCUGAGAUGUGCAAGUCAAAAUUUACAUGUUGGGAUCGUAUGCGCCAGCGCAGGCUUGCUUGUGUCAGGAUACUACGUACGGUCACAUUUUUACAAGCGCUAUACCCUAUUUGGAAUUUUCAAUUAUAAGCUUCCUGGAACUGAAAGAAAAAUCUGUACUUAAGCUUCUGACCCUCUGGUGAUGUACUGUAGUCUCCAAAACAAAGAAUCAAUAUUAUCUAUUGCGUUAAUUAACAUUAAAAUAUUUGUCAAGUAUCUGUGGACUCAGUUCCCUUUUUCACAAAGAUUAGCUAUAAGCUCUGACUUAGCCUUCUCGAGGGCACCAGCCAAAUUUUCAGGCUUUCUCCCACCAGCUUGAGCGAAAUUAGGCCUUCCACCACCUCCGCCACCACAUAAUUUUGCUAUCUGUCCAAUAAAUUUACCUGCCUGAAUCCCUUGAUCCACCACCCCUGGAGUAAAAGCAGCCACUAGACUAACCUUCCCUUCACCUGGACAUGACCCCAGGACAAUAGCUGCUGGAUCUGCUAGUGUUUCCAUUAAAUAUUCUGCAGCACUUUUAAGUGACUCCGCAUCAACAUCAUCCAAGCACUCAACUAGUACCCUGGAAAAUUUUCAACAAUCAAUAAAUAAAAAUGAUACAUCAACUUUAUCAUCAUCUAAUCAUUACUUUUUCAACCAUAAUUUUUCUUUUCUAUUUCAAGUCCUACCAUACAAUAGGCUCACAAAGAAGGAAAGCCUAUGUCCAACAAUUAGAGUUAGAGUUGAGAGAUUAAGGUCAAAGGUAAAUUUUUGGAAAUCGUCUUCCAGUAGAUGCCAGGAAAGGUUACCAACAACAGACACGUGCAUGUGCAAGCCUUACUGGAUGGAGCUUUAUAACACCAGGAUUAAGUUGGCCUUUUUAAAUACUCCCAAUGGAUCUGAUUCUAUCCUGAACCCCACAGUGGCUGGAGUUUUAGCGCCAAGUUACCCUUUUAUGGAAGUAUAUACAUAUGAAAGACAUCAUCCCAUGUGUUAGUAAUGUCUGCAGCAUGGCAGCAUUCACAGAAAAUAUAUUCAAGGGAAUAUCAAUGAUGUGACGCAUCACCUCUGCUUCUUAGUUGUCAGCAGAGACAAACCCAAAAGCGUGCGUGGAACCUACCCUCCCAUGUCAUUCUACUUAUAUGUCAUGGGAUAUCUUUCCGGUCUGUAUUAAUAAGGUUACAUGGACAAUCAUCAGAGUUGUAUGCACUUAGAUACAGGGACAGAUCCAAAGCUCUAUCACAAGGGGGUGCCAAAAAAAUAUUAAUAACAGAUAUUACAUGAAUAUUACUAUGUAAUAGCUACAACAACCAAGCUUUAUCCUAGUAAGUAGGGUCGUUUACUUAGAUCAAACAAUGCUAUAACGUUCUAUCAUAUACCAUAUCUCUAUUCAGCUCAUUAAUCCUAGGUCUUUCUUAAUAGUUUUUCCAGGUCUCCCUACCUCUAGUGAUUUGACUACCCUCCAUUUAAUCUACUCUCGUUACUACGUAAUAUACAUGUCUCCUCAUCACAUGUCCAAACCACCUAAGCUAAGUUUCCACCAUCUUUUCUAUGAUAGAUUCUACCCAACUCUCUCUCUAAUGUUGUCAUUCAUAAUUUUAUCUCGUCUAGUAUUUCCACACAUUCAACACAACAUUAUCAUCUUUGCUACACUUAUUUUAUCCUCGUGCUGCUUUUUUACCACCCAACACUAUGUUCAUACAACAUUGUCGGUCUUACAGUUAUGCAGUAAAAAAAUUUCUUUAGUAUGAGCGGUACUUCUUUAUCACAUAAAACACCUAAGACACUUUUCUAUUUCAACCCUCAACUUGAAUUAUAUGGUCUCCUUCUAUUUAUCCCGUCAAUUUGUACUAUGGACCCCAGAUAUUUAAACUCUGUGACUUAUGGAAUGAUAUGAUCUCCAACUUUCAACUUCAAGUUAGAAAUGCUUUACUUUCUGCUAAACUUACAUUCUUAAUUCUCUGCCUUGCAUCUACUCAGACGGAAGUCAUACACUUCUAAGCCUUGUCUCCAAUUCUCUAUCCUCUCAAAUACUCCAAUUCUCUAACCUCUCAUUUAAUCACUCCCUUGACUCUCCAAGUAGAACUAUAUCAUAUCCAAAAAAGCAUACAUCCCAUUGCUGGCUCUUGGAUGUAUUUUAGAAGUAUUUGUACGUUCAAAACAAAUGUAAAAGAAUAAGGGCUUAAAGUUGAUCCUUGGUGCAGUCUAUUGUUAGGUGGAAAUCUUUUGUAGCACCACCUUGUGUCCUCACACUAGUUGAGGCCCCAUCAUACAUAUUGUUGAUAGCUCAAAUAUAGACAACUCUAACAGUUUUCUAUCCUAGGAUUUUCCACAAAAUCUCUUUAGGCACUCCUAUCAUAUGCCUUAUCAAAAUCAAUGAAAACAAGUGCAAGUCUUUUUGAUCCAUAUGGCAUCACUCCAUCACCUGUCUUAGUAAGUAGAUUGUUUCCACGGUUGAUCUUCUGGACAUAAAACCAAACUAAUUAUCAGUAACUCUAGUCUCUUAUUUUAGACUUCGGUCAAUCACUCUUCCCAUAAUUUCAUGGUAUGACUCAUGUUUAAUCCUUCUAUAAUUGGCGCAAUUUUGUAUAGACCCCUUGUUGUUAUAAAUCAGAAUUAAAAUACUUCUCCACUCAUCCGACAUUUUCUUCGACCUCAUAACCUCGUUAAAAUACUUUGUGAGCCAAGCAAUGCCUCUUUAAUAGUUAAUUAAUAUAAAAUAAUAUGUAGUUGGUCGUCCGUUGAAAAUUGAAACAGAUGAUUUUGGAGCUUUACUGAGUUAGUAAAGGUGGAAAAAUUGUGCUCCUCUAUAGAGUUGAUAAAGAUCUUGUAAUUAGUGGAGUUUACUAAAGCAAAAGUGCAUAAGCAGCGGUAGUUAGGCUUUUAUGCUGAAGCAGAAAUUUCACUGUUAGAAUAUGAAUAUCGCCUUUCACAUUGGUGGUAUCCAAGCGGAGGCGGGGAGGGGUCGUCCCUCUCCAGAAAACUUUUGAUUUGGCAGUUCUUCGGAUACUUUGAAGUGGUUAAUUCAAUUAGAAUUAAAUUAAUUUUUGGGUUUUAUAGUUUUAACUAUUAUCAAUGCCAAUCUCACGAAUAAUCCGAAUUAACAGAAAAUUAAAUUAAAAAAGUGGAUACUGAUAAAAGAUUUAUAUGCUUGAUUACAAACAACGAUAUACAUUAACUCAAUGCAUCCAUGUUUUUGGCAUCUAUUUAAUUUACUUAGAACUAGUAUUUUGUAUGGGAGUUAAAUUAAUUACCUUCUAUAUUUCUCCUAAUUACAUGAAUGCUUUUUUCAUAUAGAAAUAAAAUAUUACGGAGGAAAUUAGAACCCCCACUAUGCCUUCCUCUAUAACGUUUCUCUCCUCUAUAGUGUAGCUAGGUUCCUUUGAUGUUUUCUAGUAAGAUUAUCAUCCUUCAUUAUAAAUGACAAUCUUAAUUUUUUUUUGUUGCUAACAAGGGAGAAGACCCUCUGCCCCACCCAUAUUAAAGCAACAAAUACUACAAGAUGGAGAAGUAUUACCUGUACUGUUUUGAAUUCCCAACCAAAAACAUUUUGCUUGCAAUAACUGAAGCUUUGUAGACUGCUGCUUUCGCACGCACAGCCAAGUUUUCAUUUCUUGCUACCCGUAACUCCUCUAAAAGGUUUUCCACCCUUGCAGUUACUUCUUCAGGUUUAACCUUCAAAAGUUGAUUACAAGUGAUUCAAAGAAAGAAAUGGGGCCAAAUACAGAACAAGACAGUCCACAAUGGCCAUUGAUCUACUCAGAAAGAAAAACAAUGGCUAUUGAAUUUUUAUUUCAUUAAAUAUUCAUACUAAUAUAAAUGAUUAUUAUAGACAAAAAUGAAAUCCUCUAUGUAUGUGAGCAAAAUAUGCAACAAGGAAGCCGAGAUUUGUGCAUGAAAAAAGUCAGUUACAUUGUGGAAAAUUGCCUAUAAAUAAAAAGGUCAGUUACAGUGAAUCCGAUAUUGUACAAAGUAUGAUGGUUUGUCUCUCAACCCAAAUUCUGCCGUGUACUCAACCCCAAUAAAGGGCAACGAAAACCUAUAUGCAGAAAUUUAAACAAUAAAGAAUUGGCAAAUUAAUUGCAUGACUCAUGGAUAUUCACUGUAAAACAAAAAUGUAAAAUUAUGGUAAAGUAGAUGAAAAUGAAUAUUAAUUAGUUCUCUUGAGGACAAACUGUAAUCUUUAAAACUUAGGCAAAAUUGUGAAAAACUAAGAUCGCAAACAUACUUUGAGAGUGGAACAUAGCUGUUUCAGAUAAGAAUCUCGGGCAUUGACAUACUCAAUGAAAGCUUCCCCAGCUACAGCUUCAAUUCGCCUGACUCCAGAUGCAAUACCCUGCUCUGAAAUUAUUUUAAAACCACGAAUUUCAGAAGUAUUACUGACGUGAGUCCCACCACAAAGUUCCAUUGAUACUCCAGGAACCUCUACAACACGUACCUGAAGUGAACCAAAUUUGAAAACAAGAAACAGCAUAAACAUCAUAUGAGCUAGAUAAAUACAAAUUUAAAAUAUUAUAUAUAAUAUUUUCCUUCAUUAUUGAGAAGUAGAAAUAUACAAUAAGAUAUGGAACAUAUAGACUUUGGUUGGCAAGUUUGAUCCACUAGCUUAUAGUGGAUUUGACUAGUUUAUAGUGGAUUUAAUAAACUAGAGUUGUUUGGUAAGGAUAUUUAACUCACUAGUUUAUAGCGUUAUUCUACGUACUACUUUAUGUAGUGUUUGAGCUCAGAAUUUGUAUAUCAUAUUAUUUUCUUUUUCAGUUUUACUCACAAUUUUAAUUAAAUUCUCACUUUAAAACUAAGAACCCUAAUCCCUAAAGAAUAUAUAUUUGCCCAUAAUAUUUCAAAAUUUAUAAGCAUAAUUAUGCGAUUCUUUAAGUUAUUUAAUUGUACCAGAUUAGUCCUUUAAGUUAUUUUUGCCCCAAAUAUGUCCUUUAAAUCAUAAAACGUAUACAUUCUUACGCUUUUAACAGAUUUUGCUACAAAAAUGCACAAUGUCCGCGACACGUAUCUAACACAGACGUCCAAAUAAGCUUAUGUUACAAAAAUGCACAAUGUCAAAAUAUUUUAAAAUAAUUUUUAUUAAAAUCAAACUCAAAAUUAAAAUCAAUUAGGGUUCUUCAACAAUUUCUUCUCCUUUCCAUUUUUUUUUAGUUUCUGGGUAUGUUGCUUCUCAUCUUUUUAUUUCUCAGUCCUUUUUCUUACAGUCCCUUCCAAUUGAAUUGGGUUUUUUCCACACUACAAAUCUUUCAAAAUUUACACAUGAUAUGAACCUACACCCAUCUGAUUUUCUUUCAAGUUUUUAAAACGGAGCACUUUCUUUAAUUUCUAUGUUUUUGUCAUUGAUUUUCUCUGUUUUUAUUAUAGUUUUGGUAUCCACAGUUGUUGAGUUACCUUCUCUCAUAUGUCUACGGAUUCUAUCUUCUUCACCUUUCUAUUUUCUUCUAUUUCCCCCUUCACAAAACCUUAGAUUUCGGAAUUUAGUUCAUUGCACCCAUGGAAGAAAGAUCAAAACUUUAAUUUCAAUCCAAUAUUUUUCCACUUACUAUUUCCCUAAAUCAACAUUAACCUAAUUUCAAUUGAUAUUUUAAGUUCAGAGGAAGAGUGUUGAAGUUUGUAGAUGUAAUCUUAGAACAUAUUUGUGGACUUGGACUAAGAAUGGAGGAGAUGGCAGGGGUUGGGUUUGAACAUACAGUUGCUCUGGAAAAAGGGGGUUAGAAAGAUAAUGAUGAAGAUGGUGAAGGGAAGAUGAUGAAGAUCCUCAGGGUUCUUCAGUUUAUUUUUAUAAUAAAAUAUUAAUUAAAAAAAAAUAAUUUUUCACAAAAAGCCUAUUUAAAUUUGCUACGUCAGCAUCGUUUAAUCCACGCCAAAUCUGUAAUGAUCAGGUGUGCGUUUUUGUUACAGAAUCUAUUAAAAAAGGCAAUAGUGCGUACAUUUUAUGACUUAAAGAAUCUAUUUGAGACAAAAAUACCUAAAGGACUAAACAGAUACAAUUAAAUAACUUAAAGGACCGCCAAUUGUAUUCUGCCAAAUUUAUAUAAAACAGUAUAUGAACAAGUCAUGUUGUUUACAUUAUCUCAUUUUGUUUAAAUAUAUUUAUAACUGAGAAUUACAUUAAAUCAUUAAUAUUCAAUUGUUUAUGGCAAAUACCUUAAAAUAAAUUUAAGUAUUAAAAGUGAUCAUUAUUUAAAAAUCAAUACUAAAUAUAAACACAGAAUUUUAAUAUACAAAAGAUAGAGAUGUCAUAUUCUGUUAACCGGUAACUCUACCAAUGGUAAUACUAAUAAGGGAAUUUUGGUCUGAACAACACGAUGAGUCCUUGAACAUUAGUUGCAAACCACCCCUGAAGGUCAAAGUUCUGACCUCUUUUGAAGUACACACUUCAUGUUACAUGUUAUUUUUUUUAAAAUAGCAAAUGUUAGUUGUUAGAUGUAAUUUUGUUAAUGAGGGGUUUGAGUCAGACCUCCUUAUCACUCCCCUCCUCUAAACCACCAAACUACCUUAUCACUCCACAAGGAAUCGAAAUAACCUACACACGUAAAACUACCAUAACAGAAGUAAGCUAAAUGAAUUUCAAAGUUAAAAUCAAAAGUAUUUGUAGUAAAUCCAACCUCUUCACCAUAUUUUUCUCCAAACAUUGCAAUAGCCCCUGCUUUUUUUGCGUCAGAAAGAGGCAUCACUUUGGUCUGAAGAAGAAUUGCAUCCUCAAUCCAUCCGUUGAUCAGCAUUUCAAUUUUUGCAAGCUCAUUAUCAAGAAGUGGGCGGUGGAAGUUGAAAUCAAAUCUGAGACGAUCAAAUGCAACCAAAGAACCAGCUUGAGAGGUCUCCUGACCGAUGACUUCUUUAAGUGCAGCUUGUAGUAAAUGAGUAGCAGUAUGAUGAACCUGCAAAGCACCAACUAUAUUGACAGUAAUCUUGAACAACUUGUAAGCUUGGAAUUUGAAAAUAUACAUGACUAUGAUGGUGUAAGAAUUUGCCUUUAUCAAAUUUUAUUAUGACUAAAGAUUCACCAAACAAGUAAAUAAAAAUGAGUGGGUCCACAUUUUUGCACCUUAGCUCGUUGCCUCAACUUUACAUUCACUGUUGCUUCCACUUGUAUACCAACAUCUACAACACCCUUUUGGACAGUACCCUUGUGAACAAAUAUAUUACCAAAAGACUUCUGAACAUCUAUUAUCUCCACAACAGCCCGAGGUUGAUUCUUGCCUUCUGAAAUAUAUAGAAAACCAUGAUCUCCAAUUUGUCCUCCUGAUUCAGCAUAAAAUGGAGUCUUGUUCAGCAAAACUUCCACAUUACUACCUUCACUAACCUGUACAGCUGGAUCACCAUUUACCACUAGGCUUGCUACAAUUGCAUUACAAUAAAGACUGUCAUAUCCAACAAACUCAGUGUCAGGAACAUUGUCUACAAUAUUUGCCCCACUUCCAAUGGCAAGCUUGACGGUAUUGUGUGCAGCUUGUGAUUGUCGCCUUUGCUUCUCCAUCUCAAUAUCAAAACCAUUCAUGUCAAUACUAACACCACGUUCUUCCCCCACUUCUUUUGUUAUUUCCAUUGGGAAACCGUAGGUAUCAUACAAAAUAAACACAUCUUCACCAGCCAAGCAAGGCACAGUUCCAUUUCUUUCAGCUCUUGAUAUAGCAUCAGCAAGCUUCUCCUCGAGCAACUUUUCUCCUCUUUCCAGUGUCUGCACAAACCGAAGCUCUUCUCUCUUCAACUCCUCAAGGAUUCGGGGAGCUCUAUUCUUCACAUCAGCAUCAAUGUGUGUACUUAAUUCUACUACUUUCUCAGCAAUAAUGGGUAAAAAUGCUCCAUCAAGGUCUCCCCUACCAUCACCUUUUAUACCAAGCAAUCUGCCUGUACGAACGACCCUUCUAAUAAGCCGUCGAACUACAUAACCCCUCCCAACAUUUGAUGGGACAACACCAUCAGAGACGAGAAACACAAUUGCACGCAUGUGAUCUCCUACAAUCUAAGAAAAGACAAAUAACAUACUUAAAAGUAAUAAGACAGAUGGAUUAAAAUAAACUAAUCAAAAUUAUACUGCAUCUUGUAUAAGAUAAAAUUGUACUUACUUUUAGAUACCUCUUUGUCAAAUCAUCAGAAAUGCCAUAUGAAACAUUUGCUAAUUCAGAUGCCUUCUCUAUGAUGGGGAGAAUCAAGUCCGUUUCAUAGUUGUUGGGAACCUGCAGUUAACACUGAAUAAAUAUAAAAAGGACUUGACGAGCAAAUGAAAACAAUAGUACUGUGAGUGAUGUUUCAUUCACACCCUUUUUCAUUACCCCAUUAUUCUCACUAUGCAAGCGGGGGUGUAGGGUAGGGUGCAGGAAAAAUGGAUGCAGAAAUAUCAUAGUUCUAGCUCUAGCUCUAGUUGUAGUCCCCCAGAAGUACUUUUAAAAGUACAAAUGGCCACUUUUUACGACAAUUCAAAUGAAUGCAAUACCUUUUGAAGAAUGCGAGCCAUGCGCUCCAAACCAAGCCCAGUAUCUAUGUUCUUUUGCUUUAGAGGUUCAAGAGAACCAUCAUCUUUUUUGUUGUAUUGCAUGAAUACUAAAUUGUAGAACUCUAUAAACCGUGUAUCAUCACCAAGAUCCUGGUUUCACCCCCCAAGCCAGCCCAGAAAAUGUAAAACUUGGUCAUUGAAGUGAAAUGGAAUAACUCAAUUUCAAAUUAUAGCAUACUUACGGCAUCAGUGUAUCCCCUCUCAGGAUGAAAGUCAUAAUAUAUUUCGGAGCAAGGACCACAGGGACCGGUGGCUCCACUAGUCCAAAAGUUGUCAUCUUCACCCAAGCUCUUAAUUCGCUCAGCAGGGACACCAAUCUGCACAGAAAUGAAGAGCAUGUAGAGUUGAAGACAGGCAAUUUAGUUAGAAGUUAAUUAAAAAGGAAAUAAGAGGAUGUGCAAUUUAAUUAGCUAACCUGUUGAGACCAUAACUGAAAAGCCUCAUGAUCAUCUUUAUAAACACUAAUCCAUAAUCUCUCUGGCGGCAAAGCAAACCUAAAAGUAAAUGGAAGAGAUGAAAAUAAAAUAGAAAGAGAAUGAAGGAAAGAUGAAUGGAGGAGGAGGAGGAGGAGGAGGAGAAGUAAACUGACUCAAUGGUAGAUAAUUCCCAGGCCCAUUGAAUAGCUUGUUUUUUGAAGUAAUCACCAAAGCUGAAGUUUCCAAGCAUUUCAAAGAAGGUAUGAUGUCGUGAGGUUUGGCCAACGUUGUUGAUAUCAUUAGUACGUAUGCACCUUUGAGAAGUAGUAGCACGAGGCAAUUCUCUGGGAACAUUACCAAGGAAGAUAGGCUUGAAUUGAAGCAUACCAGCGAUAGUGAGGAGAACAGUGGGGUCAUCUGGGACGAGAGAAGCACUGGGAAGGACCUUGUGACCGCGGGAAGCAUAAAAACUAAGAAAUCUUUGCCGUAUGGAAUCUCCACUCACAUUCCCUGUUGUGAUCACUUGUUCGGCUGGGUGUUGAGGUUGCGAUUGCGGUUGCGACUGCGAUGAUGUACAAAAGGCAAAACGACGACGUCGGCCAAGUUGUUUGAGAGAGAGAAAUCCUGUAAAUUACGUGUGUGCGUUAUUACUUAAUAAUAAUAAUAAUAAAUGUUGAGUAGUAGGAAGUGCAAGUAACAAAUUACCAGUGGGAGUGAGAGUGGAAGUGGAAGUGGAAAUGGAAAUGGAAGUACAAGUAGAAGCAUCGGCGGCAACUUUUGGAAGCAAGAGAUUUGGGAAUGGAACCGCCAACCCUUCCAUACCUCAAAAUCAAACUGUUGUUCAACAAAGAAACAAAAUUAAUGGAUAAUAAUAAGAAUAAGCAUAUCUUCUCUUCACUUUCCCCAACUCACCUUCACCACAUAUCCAUCACUUCCCACCUUGCCUAUACUAUUCACCCCUUAAUUAAUUAUAUAUAUAUUUAUAAAUAUUUUUCUUACUUUAUACAUUAAAUAUAUUCACGUGUUUAUAAAAAUCAAGAAUAAUUCUGUAGUUAUACUACGUUAUUGUAACUUCCAUCAACUACACAUAAUAGGUAUAUUUGAGUCAUUACCGAAUAUUAAAAGUUUACUUAUUAUAUAUUCUAUUUUUAAAAAAUUAUUUAAAAAAAUAAGUUUUAGAGUAUUUAUUUAUUUGUUAUAGCUUUUGAAAAAAUUUGAAUCUGAAAAUAUUUAAAAAACUUUCAAAUAAAAAACUAAUUUAAGAAGUUUCACAUAAAAAUAGUUUUUAUAACAAUUUUUUUUUAAAUAAUAGACCAUCACAAAACUAUUUUUUAAAAAUAAUUUAUAAUAAAUAAUUUCUAAAUUAUUAAAUUUUUUUUAUAAUAUAUAAUAAAUAAACUAUAAAUUUGAUUUCUCAAUCGAAACUAAGGAAGUAGAAUGGGACUCAGUCUUGCGUGGGUUAGUUUAAGAAUAUUUUUUGCUUUUUGUUUAAAUAAAUUUUUUUAUUACCUAAAAUUUAUAUAUUGUUUGUGUAUCUAAUUUAUAAUUAUUGAGUCCAAAAUCCGUCAAUUUCAUUCAUAUUACAACAAACAACCAAACAUAUAUAUAUAUAUCAAUACAUGUUCAUAUAUAUAUUUUUUUAAUUAUAUUGAGACUUGUUUGAAAAGAGACUAAAUAUAAAAUAGAUGAUAUAUAUAUAUAUAUAUAUACACCAAUGAAAAUGUCAUAAUCUAAAUUUUUAAUUCCAUUUUAAUAUUUUACGUGGUUUUUCUAUAGAGAGAAAAAAAAGAUUGUUUCUAAGUAUAAUUGGAGGUAGCACAAUUGUGAUUAUGUGACGUGUAGAAUAUUGAUGUGUCAUGAUCAAAACUCAAGAGAUUGAUUUAAUAUAUUAUAAUAGAUAAUUUGUUAUGUUUAAAAAAAACUAACCUUUUUCUACUUUGAUAAUUUAUAUUAGUUAGAUUUAAUAAUUUCUUAUCUUAUUUAAGAGGCAUAGUGACAAUAUUCAUCCAUUUUUCAUUUUAAUCAUGAUUGAUUAAUUUUUUAGAGGACUCAUCGAUUAAUUUUAGUCCAUGUCAUAUAUUUUUGCUUAGAUCCUUAUCAUAUAUUGAUUGGUAAAUGUAACCAUAUAAGCUAUUCAAUCAUAUUAAUUAGACGCAGCCUCCUUUUAAGGCCCCAAUUCAAAUCCGAUUCUGAGUAACCUAAGUUUAAUAAACUAUUGUAAAAAAAAACUAAGUUUAAAGAGGGCAAUAAAUUGUCAAGCUCUAAAAUAUAAAAAAUGGGUGAAGUGGCAUUACGCAGGGUUGCAGGAAUUUUAGUUGAAGUAAUGGUAUUCCAAAGAAAUGGCCACACAAUGCAAGGACCUUUUUUUUUUUUUGAAAAAUCUUACACAGUUAAAGAACUUAAUCCUUGAUCAUUAGUGCAUGUACAUGUUGUUCUGCACUACGUUUGCCACCUCUAGGUUGAACAUUGGUCGAGUUUCAAAUUUUGUCAAACCAUACAAAACCAAGUAUGCAAUUUACAAGCUAAAUUUCGAAUGAUUUUGCAUUGGUUUAGACGCGUUUUGGUUUGAGCAUAUUAACUUUCAUAAUUGCGUUAGGAUAUAUAAUUUAUACUAAAAAAAAAUACAAGUACUUAAGUUCCUACUGCACCAACAAGAUUAAUUUUUUUCUUCAUAUAUGUGUGUAAUCUAUUUUUCUUCUAAAUAUACCCUAUAAUUCAUAUAUUACCUCUCUUAUAUCAACGGCUUCUUAUGGUUAUUAAGGAUGAGAAUAUGUUAGGUCGUCCGAGGCCUAUGACAUGACCUACUUAUGGUCUGGUAUGGUAUAUUUGAUAAAAAGAUUAGACUCAAGUUAUUUUUAAAGUCUAUUUAUUUAAAUAAGUCAGACUCAGACUUAUAAAAAAGCCUAUUAGGCCGCCUGACAGACCGACCUAUAUAUAAUUUAUUAUUUAUUAAUGUUAUUUUUUUAUUAUUUAUUAAUAAUAUUAUUUUAUAUUUUAAAGUCUAUCAAUUAGACAAUCACUCGUUAGUCGUUCCAUAUUCGGUAGCCAUUCUAUAUUCGGUAGUCGUUCGAUAUUCGGUAGCCGUUCAAUUAGACAAUCAUUCAAUAGCCGUUCCAUAUUUGUUUGAGAGAUAAUAAUAGGUGCGUUUGUUUCAUGAGAAAAAAAUAUAUUCUUUGAAACCAAAAAUCAUUUCUUAGGGUUUAAAUGGUGUUUGUUUCAGAUUUUUUUAUAUAAAUGCAUAGUUUAGUCUAUUUAAAAAAAAUAUAAAAUAGAACAUUUAAAUGUUUUCAUGUAAAAAAGACUUUUAAAUAGGCUUUCAGGCCAGACCAAACUUUUAAAAAGGUCAGGUCAGGCCAGAAAAAAAGCCUAUGAUAGACGGUAUGCCAGACUUAGGCUUAAAAAAUUAACCGUAGAUCAGACUCAGACAUUUCAAAGUCUGGUCUGACCUAACCUAUUCCCAUCCAUAAUUGUUACCAAAAACUUCUUUACGAUGUUUCACUUUUGUUUUUCUCCACGUUACUUCUAUUUGCCUAAACUUUUUAUUUUACCAUUUUUCGAACAAUUUUUUUCCCCUAAAAAAUUUUAAUGACGCAUAAACAAGUUUAGGUCAUUGUCUCCAUUCAAGUUAAGGAAAUCCCUCCAAAGAAAAAUCUAACUUUUAGCGUAACACUUGUGACGCUCAUAUGAAAAUGUGUGUCCUUAUGAUGUAUGGAGUGAAUCAAUGACAAUUUACAAUGGCUUCCAUCUUGACUAUGUGAUAAGUGUACAAAAACUAUUUGAUGUUCAUGCUGCUUCUUUGCAUGCUCAUAGUACACCAUAUAUGUCUGUAGGUAUUCUACGGCCUUUAUUCAGUCAAUCAUCAUCUUGAUAUGAUUAUAUUCGUUCGAUUAAACUAUCCACUAAAAAAAAAACAGAAUAAAUUGGAUUUUUAUUUACAAUAUUGUAUUUCAAAUGGCAAAAACUUAGUGGUGAUGACGGUGAGAUUGGGAGGGAUGAUAGGGGAAUGAAAGAGAUUGAUUUGGGUGGAGCUUUGAUGGUCAUGGUUGUUGAGAAAGGUCGUAUAUUAGAGAAGGAUUACAUGUGGAAAGUAUAUGUUAUGAUAGUGAAGGAUGUGAUGAAUCUAAAGAUUAAAAACUCAUGGUCCAUCUUGGACUAAUAUUUCAUAGGUGAAGGCUAAGCAGACUCUUAAAUAUAAGGAAUAGAGUUAAAUAAAUUGAUAUGUUUAACAUUAAAUUUAAAUGAAAUAUAUUAUUAUUUUUAACCUACUUUUACUUAUAUUUAAAACUGGAGGAAGUAUGUUGCUCUUAUUAUGUACAUCAACUUUGUCAUGCUAAAAUUUAAAAUCUUGGUAUUUUAGUUGUACAUACCCUCUGAGCAUAUUAGUCUUGAAGAAUAAGUUGCUUGCAAUUUUGGAGGAUUGAGAUUCCUUAUAAUAUGAUAAUCCCCUUCUGAGAUUAUUUUUCUGAAUCAAUCCUUUUUUAAGAUUUAACUUCAACUCCAUCCUGCCAUUUUCUAAUUGAACACAAAACUACCAUAUAUAUAGUAGAAUUUACACCUUAUAUAAAGUGGAAUUGACACUUAAUAUUUUUUACUAUGAUGAGAGAUGUAGCAAACGCAUGCGAUUGUUCACCUUCCUACUAUUUUUAUUAUCAUUUUCAAAUAAAUCACGCUUAAGGAUUGCAAUUUUCAAUAGAUAAUAAACAAGUUUAAUUCAAUAUAUAAUAUACUUUGACUUUAAUGGAGAUAUAUUAUCAGGGUUUUACAUUGACAUCAAAUGAAAGACCACAAUUUUUUCAUGUCACAAUUAUUAAUUUUAAAAUAAUCAUACAAAAGUAGAAUGAUAUAGCAAAGUAAUGAAUUUUUAUUAAAUAUCAUUGUAAAACUGUUUUACACUAACAAUAUAUACUCUUUAAUUCCAUAUACCUAUUUUAAAAAACAAGUUAAAUCUAGUUUUUUUUAUAAAUUUUAGUAUGCAUGAUUGUUAACAAAAUAUGUAAAAAUUAAUAAUUAGAUUGGUGAAAUUCAAUUUCAACAAAAAGUUAUUAAAAAGAGUAACUCUAACAAGAGGAACUCACGACACCAGGUUACUACUUCCGCAAUAAGUUGAUUCUAAACUCAUGUAUUUCUUUAUCUAUUUAUAUUUAGUAAUUUUAUUUUAAGAAACAAAAACUUUCCUUUGGGUUUGAAAAAGGGUAGAUAUGAUAAACCUUUCAUGUACUUAAUUGCUCGAAAGUUGGGCAUGAAUGGAGCAUGCAGGAGGCGAUGGCUUCCAUCAUAAUAGGCAAAAUGACCCCCCACCCAAGCUAUAUAUUUGUUCACAUUUCUACCAAAUAGAAGCUAUAACCUAAAAAAUUGGGAUAAAAUCUAGUAAGCCGGAUCACAAUAUUGUUCCAUAUCUUUUGCCAUGCCAUAAAAACAAAAUGGCACUGGAUGACAUGGAACAUAUACAAUUUGGGUUGGGUGACCAGGUUGUUCAAUAUACACACAAAAAAAGAACCCAGAUUUCUCACCACUAUGGAAUCUUCAAUCACCAUUAUUUGUGCAAUCUGAUUUUCUCUGUUUAGCAGCAAGUCGGGGCCUCAGCUGUAUGGCAAGGAGGUAAAGACAAGUAGAAAAGGAAAAUAAAAUAAAAUCAAAAUAGUGUUCGGUGGUUGAGCAUGUAAACUAUACACUAACAGUGAAAAAUAGCUUCUAUGGAAAGACAAAAGAGACAAGACUGCCAUGAGUUGGGGAUUAGAAGAGGAGGGAUUGACCUACCUACAAUAAUUAGUACACAUUCCAAUAUUCCUAGAAUCUAUACCUUAAGUUGCAUACUAUAAGCCUUUGUCUGUGUUCUAAUGAAUCAAACCAAUUCUAUGUUGCUAAAUUAUUUUAUUAUUACUAUUGUCUAUUAUAUUUUCAUCUUUGACAGCAUACAAGCAGAAGUAUAAACCAAGAAAUGCUCACCACAGAUUAUUUUGACUAAUCAGAAAUAUGCAGUUUACACAUACCAUUUCUAUAUACUUCAGUUGCUUCAGAACUUGAUCUGUCUCCACCUCCUGCAGCAAGUAAAUGAAGUUGGGAAUUUACAAUGGCAAAGCAAGAUAGUGUUCAAAGCUACAUCAAAUUACAAGGGAACAGAAAAGAACAGAAUAUGUUACAUAACAUCCCUAUUUUCAUUAUCAUGCUUAGGGUUGUCUUAAUCGGGGUUUGCUUUUGUGUGUAUGUCAGUUUGAGUGCUUCGGAUGGGAUCAGAACUAGGGUUUUUAACUUGGAAGUGAAAAUGAGGGUUUCCAUGUCUGAGCCAGGUGCCAAAGCGCAAGCCAACAGCCCCUAGCAACGAUUACAUGUUGAAACAUGACUGUUUUUCAUUGGACAAGGGGACUAGCACGUGAUUUGGACAAGGCAGUGGACUUCAGAGUCCAGGUGCACCCCUCGGCCCUCAGGCCCUAGCCAAGUGCAUAUAGCAAUCAUAGCAGCUUGCCACGUGGAACACUGGUUGGGUGGCCAAACGGUGACACUUGACGUUGUCUAGAUGGUGAAGGAAACUGCCACCAUGCACCUCAAUAAGUAUACUUUCAGAGCUUAUUAUCUUCUUUCAAUGAUUCUAAAUUGUUUUUGUAGCUUACAUCUCAUCCUGAUACUAUUUUAGGGUUCUCGCACGGUUGUCAGGAGUAUAGGAAUUGUUUUGGACUGUUCCAAAAUUGUACUUAACCUUCUUUGGUAAGUAUAAGACAAUAAGUAUGUUCUCUGCUUUGUGAUACUCAUCGACUCCUUUGGUUACACUUGUUUCGAUGUGAAUGUGUUUUUGAACUCCUAGUGAAAUAUAGCUCGCAUGUUGUAAACCGUUGUAAUUUUAGAAGAACGAGGAAGUUCCUGGUGUAGUGGACAGAAGGGCAAGGCUUGGAACAGCCUCUUGUUCAUGUUCUCCUUGUGUUUUUUAUCUUGCAUCAUUUACCCUUAAUCCGACAUAACUGGAUUUUUGUGUACAUGGUGUAAUCUGAAUCGUGUUGAUGUGUUUGAUUGUAUUUUUGCCUUAAUUGCAGUCCACAUCUAGCUGACUUAAUUGCGAAAAAUUUGGGCUGCCUUCAUGCAGCUUCCGGCACCUUCAUUGUGCUGGUGUAAUGAGGAUGGAUUUAAUCCCACGUUGUCUGCAGAUGUGGCCUUUGUAGUACUUAUAAGGCUUCGGUAGCCCCACCUUACAAACUGGUUU
rnacentral:lncRNA from 1 species